AUAUAACAGUUACAAAAUAUUGAUAGCCGAUAAUUUUCCUCUCAAAAGGGUACACGACUCACAACAUGAAUCUUGAGUUAGUGAGAAGCCUUGGCCAAAAACAGAAAGACUUGUAGAUAAUAUUGAUCCAAUAUAUCAUAAGUACCUUAUUAUUAGGGACAAUGAUGUCUUUCCAUUAACAUGAACUUCUCAAAUCAAAUGAUACAAUUGAACAAGCAACACAAUAAUGUAGAUUGAAGCAAACAUAGAUCAAAAAGUUAUACAUUAUUAUUUCCUCCAUCACUUAAGCAAGAUGAAUUUUGCUAGACCAUGUCAUUCGUCUUCUUGUUGAUGACAUCCUGAAUGAUAGGACCGAGGGCCUCCAUCCUUAUUGGUUUGGGCACAAACAAAUCAGCACCAGCACUGAUGAACGCCUCCAUGGCAUGAUUAUCGGCAGAAAGCCCAACAAUCUUCACAUCAGUUUCCCCCAUAGCACGGAUCUUCACAAUUGCCUGUCGAGCAAUAUAAAAAUUAUAUUGAUUUUUGGUAAAUAAAUGGAUUAUAUUUAUAUAAGUACAUGCCAAAUACUUGAUGAUAUAGAAUUAAUUACCUCUGGACCAGUCAUGGCGGGCAUAUCCUUAUCGAACAAAACAAUGUCAAACCUUUUCCCCUCAAGGAACAAAUCAACAGCUUCCUUCACAUUCAUGGCUAGAGUAACCUCACAGUGAAGUCUGAGCAGAAACGUUGAGAGGACCAACCUACAAACUCCAAUGUCCUCUACAAGUAGUGCCUUGAUAGAGGUGGAUCCUUUGGCCUUGAGCUCCAUGAUCACCUAAACAAAUUACGAACACAUGAAUAUAUUUUAUUCUUGAUCCACGCAUGCCAAAUUAGUAGUUUAAGCACAUUGUUUUUCUUGAAAAGAAUCAACUAACAAAAUCUCAAUAUAUUACUAAACUCAUAGUUUAACUAAUCAAGGACAUCGCAUAACACAAUGAAACAAAAUUGUGUAUUUCAAAUGAAAACAAUGAUAGAGAUCGAUCGAUUGUGCUAUGCAUGUAAAGUUUCCCAUGAUCAUUCCUUUUUAUAUGAUAUGUGAUGCGGCUUGAAGGUACAUCGGUAUUUCCCCAAAGAGGAAGGGAUGAUGCAGCACAGCGACGGUAGGUAUUUCCCUCAGUGAGGAAACCAAGGUUAUCGAACCAGUAGGAGAACCAAGCAACACAACGUAAACAGCCCCUGCACACAGAGAACAAAUCCUCGCAACCCGGCGUGUAAAAUGGGUUGUCAAUCCCUACCGGGUAGCGACGCCCCAAGAUGGGCAAACGGACGUGAGGAAAUUGUGGUAGAUUGAUAGAUCGAACGCCAAAUAAAAUAAAUAAAAAUAAAUUGCAGCAAGGUAUUUUUGGUUUAAUAGAUCUGAAAAUAAAUGCAAAAGAAAAGUAGAUCGCAAAGGUAGAUAUAUGAGAAAGAGACCCGGGGGGCGUAGGUUUCACUAGUGGCUUCUCUCGGGAAAAAUAGAAAACGGUGGGUGAACAAAUUAUUGUUGGGAAAUUGAUAGAACUUCAAAUAAUCAUGACGAUAUCUAGGCAAUGAUCAUUAUAUAGGCAUCACGUCCAAGAUUAGUAGACCGACUCCUUCCUACAUCCACUACUAUUACUCCACACAUCGACCGCUAUCCAGCAUGCAUACAGUGUAUUAAGUUCAUGGAAAAACAGAGUAAUGCAAUAAGAACGAUGACAUAAUGUAGACAAGAUCUAUCUAUGUAGAGAUAGACCCCAUCGUUUUAUCCUUAGUAGCAACGAUACAUAUGUGUCGGUUCCCCUUCUGUCACUGGGAUCAAGCACCGUAAGAUCGAACCCACUACAAAGCACCUCUUCCCAUUGCAAGAUAAAUAUAUCAAGUUGGCCAAACAAAACCCAAAUAUCGGAGAAGAAAUACGAGGCUAUAAGCAAUCAUGCAUAAAAGACAAAGAAACUCAAAUGCUUUCAUGGAUAUAAAAAGAUAUAACUGAUCAUAAACUCAAAGUUCAUCAGAUCCCAACAAACACACCGCAAAAGAGUUACAUCAUAUGGAUCUCCAAGAGACCAUUGUAUUGAGAAUUCAGCGAGAGAGAGGAAGCCAUCUAGCUACUAACUACGGACCCGAAGGUCUAUAAAGAACUACUCACGCAUCAUCGGAGAGGCACCAAUGGAGGUGGCGAACCCCAUCCGAGAUGGUGUCCAGAUUGGAUCUGGUGGUUCUGGACUCUGCGGCGGCUAGAUCAAUAUUUCGUCGACUCCCCUAGGGUUUCUGGAAUAUUGGGGUAUUUAUAGAGCAAAGAGGCGGUCCGGGGGGCACCCGAGGUGGGCACAACCCACCAGGGCGCGCCUAGGCCUCCUGGCGCACCCUGGUGGGUUGUGCUCUCCUCGGAGCACCCCCCCAAGGCGCAGCCAGGGCCCAUUACGUGUCUUCUAGUCAGUUAAAAAAUCUCUGUAAUGUUUCAUGGCAUUUGGACUCCGUCUGAUAUUGAUAUCCUGCGAUGUAAAAAACAUGCAGAAAACAGCAACUGGCACUUGGCACUAUGUCAAUAGGUUAGUACCAAAAAAUGAUAUAAAAUGAUUAUAAAACAUCCAAGAUUGAUAAUAUAACAGCAUGGAACAAUCAAAAAUUAUAGAUAAGUUGGAGACAUAUCAGCAUCCCCUAGCUUAACUCCUACUCGUUCUCGAGUAGGUAAGUGAUAAAAACAGGAUUUUUGAUGUGGAAAGCUGCCUAACAUGUCAUAUCAUAUUCUUUUCUUUAUAGCAUGGACAUUUGGACUUUUAUGUGAUUCAAACCAAUAGUCUAGUUUUGACAUGAUAAUUUAAAUACUCAGGCAUAUCAACAAGCAACCAUGUCUUUCAAAAUAUCAACGCUAAAAUAAGUUAUCCCUGGGCCAUCAUGCUCAACCAUAGAUCCAUUCAUAAAACACACUCGCAUAUUAGCUACACCCAAUACUCAAGUACGAUCAUAUUGCCUCCUAGUUGGUGCUUUUAUAAGAGAAGACGGAGACUCAAAUUCAAAAUAAAAAUUGCAUAAAGUAAAAGAAAGGCCCUUCGCAGAGGGAAGUAGGGAUUUGUAGAGGUGCCAGAGCUCAAAGCGAAAAACUUAGAAAUAAAAACACUUUCCAUGCUAGAUAUAUCAUAGGCGGUUCCCAAACAGAAAAUAAAGUUUAUUCCUUUUUCCACCAUACUUUCACUUUCCAUGGCUAGCCGUAUCCACAGUUGCCCUCCAUACAAACACUUCCCAAGGAAUUUAUUAUUUGACAACAUAAAGUAAAUUCAUUUUUUUCAUUUCGGGACUGGGCAUCCCUAAAACCUUUGCCUUAAUCUCAUGCAAUGACAAGUGAAUAAACACCCAUUGUGAGAAUAACACAUCCAGCAUGGAAAAUAUUAGCCACCCCUCACCGCUCCACGAGCGAAACGAACGCACAAAAGAGAAGUUUAUUUUGAAAGAGAUGGCAGAUGCAAAUUUGCUUAGAACGGCAAAAUAAUACCGCAUAUAGGUAGAUAUAGUGGACUCAUGUGGCAAAACUGGAUUAAAGCAUUUUGGAUGCACAAGUAGAGAUCAUACUUGGUGCAAAAUGAAGGCUAGCAAAAGGUUGAGAAGCGACCAACCAAGAAACGAAUAAUCUCAUAAGCAAGCGUUAAGCAUAAUUAACAUCGAAUAAUGCACCACCGUAGGAUAUAAUUUCAUUGCAUGACUGUUGACUUUCGUGCUUGCAUUGGGAAUCACAAACCUUAACACCAAUAUUCUUACUAAAGCAUAAUUACUCAUCAACAUAACUCACAUAUCACAUCAUCAUAUCUCAAAACUAUUAAUAAGAAUCAAGUUUAUUUUGUCCAAUGAUCUUCAUGAAAGUUUUUAUUAUAUCCUUCUUGGAUAUCUAUCACUUUGGGACUAAUUUUCAUGUGUUGCUUUUCAUAAGCUCAAAUAAAUAUAAGUGAAGAUCAUGAGCAUAUUUUUUUCUUUCUCUCAAAUUAAUUUAGGUGAAGCAAGAGAGAAUUUCUUGAACAUUUUACUAACUCUCAAAUAAUUCUAAUUGAAGCAAGAGAGCAUUUCUUCAAAAAUACUAAAGCACACCGUGCUCAAAAAGAUAUAAGUGAAGCACUAGAGAAAGUCCAUAGCUCAUAAAAAUUUAAGUGAAGCAUAGAGAGCAAUUCUAACAAGUCAUGACAUAAUUUUGGCCCUCUAAAAUAGGUGUGUCCAGCAAGGGAUCAAGACUUAAAACACAAAAUAAAACAAGCAAAGACUCAUAUCAUACAAGACGCUCCCAGAAAAACACAUAGUAUGUGACGAAUAAAAAUAUAGCUUCGAGUAAAAUACCGAUGGUCGUUAGAAGUAAGAGGGGAUGCCACUCGGGGGCAUCCCCAAGCUUAGUUGGUUGCUCAUUUUUGGAUAAUAGCUUGGGAUGCAGGGCCAUCCCCAAGCUUAGGCACUUCUAUCCUUCCUUCAUCCAUCGUAAGAUAACCCAAAACUUGAAAACUUCAUUCACACAAAACUCAACAAAACCUUCGUGAGAUCCGUUAGUAUAAGAAAGCAAACCACUACUAUAAGUACUGUAUCAAACCAAUUCAUAUUUUAUUUUUGCAUUAUAUAUACUGUAUUCCAACUUUUCUAUGGCAAAAACUCAUCAAAGAAAACCAUAGAGCCAUCAAAACAAGCACACAACGCAAAUAAAACUGAAUCUGUCAAAACAGAACAGUCUGUAGCAAUCUGACUAUUUCGAAUACUUCUGUAACUCCAAAAUUUCUGAAAACUUAGGAAGACCAGGGUAAUUUGUAUAUUAAUCUUCUUCAAAAGGAAUCAGGGCAAAAUCACUUUUCUGUGAUUUAUUAAAAUUAUUUUCGUGAGUGCAUAAGUUUCUGUUUUUCAGCAAGAUCAAACAAAUAUCACCCAAGAAGAUCCUAAAGGCUUUACUUGGCACCAACACUAAUUAAAACACAAAAAAACACAAUCAUAACAGUAGCAUCAUUGUGCAAACACUCAAGAACAGAAAGCAAAAAGCAAAAAUAAAUUGUAUUCAUUGGGUUGCCUCCCAACAAGUGAUAUAGUUUUACGCCCUUAGCUAGGCAUAAAGCUAGGAUCUAUGUUUUGUCAUCUUGGUUCGAGAUCCAUAAGAUGCCCCCAUGAUUGAUUCAUAUGGUGGCCUAAUUCUUGUUCUAGGGAAGUGUUCCAUACCUUUCCUCAAGGGAAAUUGGAACUUAAUAUUGCCUUCUUUCAUAUCAAUCACGGCACCGAUAGUGCGUAAAAACGGUCUACCAAGAAUAAUUGGACAAGAUGGAUUGCAAUCAAUAUCAAGAACAAUAAAAUCUAUGGGCACAUAAUUCCUAUUUUCAAGAAUAAGAACAUCAUUAAUUCUUCCCAUAGGCUUUUUAAUAGUAGAAUCAGCCAAGUGCAAAUUUAAAGAGCAUUCUUCAAGAUCGGUAAGACCAAGCACAUCACAUAAAGAUUUCGGAAUUGUGGAAACACUAGCACCCAAGUGUCACAAAGCAAAAACUCAUAAUUUUUAAUCUUGACUUUGAUAGUAGGUUCCCAUUCAUCAUGCAAUUUUCUAGGAAUUGAUACUUCUAAUUCCAAUUUUUCUUCAAAAACUUUCAUCAUAGCAUCAACAAUAUGUUUGGUAAAAGAUUUAUUUUGUUCAUAGGCAUGGGGUGAAUUUAUCAUGGAUUGCAACAAAGAAAUACAAUCAAUCAAAGAGCAACUAUCAUAAUUAAAGUCUUUGUAAUCCAAAAGAGUGGGCACAUCACUAGUUAAAGUUUUGACCUCUCCAAACCCACUUUUAUCAAUUUUCUCAACAAGAUUUCACCCUCCGAAUCAUCGGGACGCCUUCUAGCUAAAGUUGACUCUUCUCCAGUCCCCUUUUCAUCAAUCUUAACUUUAAUAAACAAGGAAUCAAUAGAAGAAACACCAAUCAUUUUAGGAUCUUCAUCACUUUACGAAAGUAAUCACUAGAAAACGCUUUUUCUAAAAAUUGUCUUUUAACUCUAAGCAUAGCGGUUCUUUUCUUACUUUCAUCCAUAGAAACAUAAAUGGAUUUAAUUGAUUCAUCAACCUUAGGCACAAAAAAAUUCAUCUUGAGAUUUUCCACAUCAUGAGAAAUUCUAUCAACACUUCUAGACAAAUCAUCAAUCUUACUCAACUUUUCUUCUAUGGAAGUGUUGAAAACUUUUUGCGUAUUGAUAAAUUCUUUAAUAUUAUUCUCAAGAUCAGAGGUGUUACUAUUAUUAUUAUAAGAUUGAUUUCCAUAGGAAUUACCAUAAUUAUUAGAGGAAUUACUAGGAAUUACAAUGAAACAAAAUUGUGUAUUUCAAAUGAAAACAAUGAUAGAGAACGAUCGAUUGUGCUAUGCAUGUAAAGUUUCCCAUGAUCAUUCCUUUUUAUAUGAUAUGUGAUGCGGCUUGAAGCUACGUCGGUAUUUCCCCAAAGAGGAAGGGAUGAUGCAGCACAGCGACGGUAGGUAUUUCCCUCAGUGAGGAAACCAAGGUUAUCGAACCAGUAGGAGAACCAAGCAACACAACGUAAACAGCCCCUGCACACAAAGAACAAAUCCUCGCAACCCGGCGUGUAAAAGGGGUUGUCAAUCCCUAUCGGGUAGCGACGCCCCAAGAUGGGCAAACUAACGUGAGGAAAUUGUGGUAGAUUGAUAGAUCGAACGCCAAAUAAAAUAAAUAAAAAUAAAUUGCAGCAAGGUAUUUUUGGUUUAAUAGAUCUGAAAAUAAAUGCAAAAGAAAAGUAGAUCGCAAAGGUAGAUAUAUGAGAAAGAGACCCGGGGGGCGUAGGUUUCACUAGUGGCUUCUCUCGAGAAAAAUAGAAAACGGUGGGUGAACAAAUUAUUGUUGGGAAAUUGAUAGAACUUCAAAUAAUCAUGACGAUAUCUAGGCAAUGAUCAUUAUAUAGGCAUCACGUCCAAGAUUAGUAGACCGACUCCUUCCUACAUCCACUACUAUUACUCCACACAUCGACCGCUAUCCAGCAUGCAUACAGUGUAUUAAGUUCAUGGAAAAACAGAGUAAUGCAAUAAGAACGAUGACAUAAUGUAGACAAGAUCUAUCUAUGUAGAGAUAGACCCCAUCGUUUUAUCCUUAGUAGCAUCGAUACGUAUGUGUCGGUUCCCCUUCUGUCACUGGGAUCAAGCACCGUAAGAUCGAACCCACUACAAAGCACCUCUUCCCAUUGUAAGAUAAAUAUAUCAAGCUGUCCAAACAAAACCCAAAUAUCGGAGAAGAAAUACGAGGCUAUAAGCAAUCAUGCAUAAAAGAGAUCAAAGAAACUCAAAUGCUUUCAUGGAUAUAAAAAGAUAUAACUGAUCAUAAACUCAAAGUUCAUCAGAUCCCAACAAACACACCGCAAAAGAGUUACAUCAUAUGGAUCUCCAAGAGACCAUUGUAUUGAGAAUUCAGCGAGAGAGAGGAAGCCAUCUAGCUACUAACUACGGACCCGAAGGUCUAUAAAGAACUACUCACGCAUCAUCGGAGAGGCACCAAUGGAGGUGGCGAACCCCAUCCGAGAUGGUGUCUAGAUUGGAUCUGGUGGUUCUGGACUCUGCGGCGGCUAGAUCAAUAUUUCGUCGACUCCCCUAGGGUUUCUGGAAUAUUGCGGUAUUUAUAGAGCAAAGAGGCGGUCCGGGGGGCACCCGAGGUGGGCACAACCCACCAGGGCGCGCCUAGGCCUCCUGGCGCACCCUGGUGGGUUGUGCUCUCCUCGGAGCACCCCCCCAAGGCGAAGCCAGGGCCCAUUACGUGUCUUCUAGUCAGUUAAAAAAUCUCUGUAAAGUUUCAUGGCAUUUGGACUCCGUCUGAUAUUGAUAUCCUGCGAUGUAAAAAACAUGCAGAAAACAGCAACUGGCACUUGGCACUAUGUCAAUAGGUUAGUACCAAAAAUGAUAUAAAAUGAUUAUAAAACAUCCAAGAUUGAUAAUAUAACAGCAUGGAACAAUCAAAAAUUAUAGAUAAGUUGGAGACGUAUCAGCAUCCCCUAGCUUAACUCCUACUCGUUCUCGAGUAGGUAAGUGAUAAAAACAGGAUUUUUGAUGUGGAAAGCUGCCUAACAUGUCAUAUCAUAUUCUUUUCUUUAUAGCAUGGACAUUUGGACUUUUAUGUGAUUCAAACCAAUAGUCUAGUUUUGACAUGAUAAUUUGAAUACUCAAGCAUAUCAACAAGCAACCAUGUCUUUCAAAAUAUCAACGCUAAAAUAAGUUAUCCCUGGGCCAUCAUGCUCAACCAUAGAUCCAUUCAUAAAACACACUCGCAUAUUAGCUACACCCAAUACUCAAGUACGAUGAUAUUGCCUCCUAGUUGGUGCUUUUAUAAGAGAAGACGGAGACUCAAAUUCAAAAUAAAAAUUGCAUAAAGUAAAAGAAAGGCCCUUCGUAGAGGGAAGUAGGGAUUUGUAGAGGUGCCAGAGCUCAAAGCGAAAAACUUAGAAAUAAAAACAUUUUGGGAGGUGUAUCCAUCCCACCAACGAAAACGACUUAGAGUUCCCAACACUUUCCAUGCUAGAUAUAUCAUAGGCGGUUCCCAAACAGAAAAUAAAGUUUAUUCCUUUUUCCACCAUACUUUCACUUUCCAUGGCUAGCCGUAUCCACAGUUGCCCUCCAUACAAACACUUCCCAAGGAAUUUAUUAUUUGACAACAUAAAGUAAAUUCAUUUUUUUCAUUCCGGGACUGGGCAUCCCUAAAACCUUUGCCUUAAUCUCAUGCAAUGACAAGUGAAUAAACACCCAUCGUGAGAAUAACACAUCCAGCAUGGAAAAUAUUAGCCACCCCUCACCGCUCCACGAGCGAAACGAACGCACAAAAGAGAAGUUUAUUUUGAAAGAGAUGGCAGAUGUAAAUUUGCUUAGAACGGCAAAAUAAUACCGCAUAUAGGUAGAUAUAGUGGACUCAUGUGGCAAAACUGGAUUAAAGCAUUUUGGAUGCACAAGUAGAGAUCAUACUUGGUGCAAAAUGAAGGCUAGCAAAAGGUUGAGAAGCGACCAACCAAGAAACGAAUAAUCACAUAAGCAAGCGUUAAGCAUAAUUAACAUCGAAUAAUGCACCACAGUAGGAUAUAAUUUCAUUGCAUGACUGUUGACUUUCAUGCUUGCAUUGGGAAUCACAAACCUUCACUACUGGAAUCAGCUAAUUUGCCAUCUGCCAGCUCUUUGCCGUCUGCUAGCUGACAGCAAAGAAGCUCUUUGCCGUCUGCCAGCUCUUUGCCAUCAGCUACCCAAAAGCAGACGGCAAAGAAGCUCUUUGCCGUCUGCCAGCUCUUUGCCGUCGGCCAGCUGACGGCAAAGAAUCUUUGCCGUCCGCUGGCGGACGGCAAAGAGUGAGGUGGCCCCCACCCCCCGCCCGUUUUUGAAAAACUUAACGGGCCACCUCUUUGCCGUCCGCUAGCAGACGGCAAAGAGGCAAAAAAGCGGACGGCAAAGGGGGGCGGACGGCAAAGAGCCUACUACCUAACGGCCCGUACCCCCGCCCGUUACUCGCUUCUUCCCUCUCCCUCCCACGCCGCCGUUUCUCUCCUCCCACGCCGCCGCCCGCCGCNNNNNNNNNNNNNNNNNNNNNNNNNNNNNNNNNNNNNNNNNNNNNNNNNNNNNNNNNNNNNNNNNNNNNNNNNNNNNNNNNNNNNNNNNNNNNNNNNNNNNNNNNNNNNNNNNNNNNNNNNNNNNNNNNNNNNNNNNNNNNNNNNNNNNNNNNNNNNNNNNNNNNNNNNNNNNNNNNNNNNNNNNNNNNNNNNNNNNNNNNNNNNNNNNNNNNNNNNNNNNNNNNNNNNNNNNNNNNNNNNNNNNNNNNNNNNNNNNNNNNNNNNNNNNNNNNNNNNNNNNNNNNNNNNNNNNNNNNNNNNNNNNNNNNNNNNNNNNNNNNNNNNNNNNNNNNNNNNNNNNNNNNNNNNNNNNNNNNNNNNNNNNNNNNNNNNNNNNNNNNNNNNNNNNNNNNNNNNNNNNNNNNNNNNNNNNNNNNNNNNNNNNNNNNNNNNNNNNNNNNNNNNNNNNNNNNNNNNNNNNNNNNNNNNNNNNNNNNNNNNNNNNNNNNNNNNNNNNNNNNNNNNNNNNNNNNNNNNNNNNNNNNNNNNNNNNNNNNNNNNNNNNNNNNNNNNNNNNNNNNNNNNNNNNNNNNNNNNNNNNNNNNNNNNNNNNNNNNNNNNNNNNNNNNNNNNNNNNNNNNNNNNNNNNNNNNNNNNNNNNNNNNNNNNNNNNNNNNNNNNNNNNNNNNNNNNNNNNNNNNNNNNNNNNNNNNNNNNNNNNNNNNNNNNNNNNNNNNNNNNNNNNNNNNNNNNNNNNNNNNNNNNNNNNNNNNNNNNNNNNNNNNNNNNNNNNNNNNNNNNNNNNNNNNNNNNNNNNNNNNNNNNNNNNNNNNNNNNNNNNNNNNNNNNNNNNNNNNNNNNNNNNNNNNNNNNNNNNNNNNNNNNNNNNNNNNNNNNNNNNNNNNNNNNNNNNNNNNNNNNNNNNNNNNNNNNNNNNNNNNNNNNNNNNNNNNNNNNNNNNNNNNNNNNNNNNNNNNNNNNNNNNNNNNNNNNNNNNNNNNNNNNNNNNNNNNNNNNNNNNNNNNNNNNNNNNNNNNNNNNNNNNNNNNNNNNNNNNNNNNNNNNNNNNNNNNNNNNNNNNNNNNNNNNNNNNNNNNNNNNNNNNNNNNNNNNNNNNNNNNNNNNNNNNNNNNNNNNNNNNNNNNNNNNNNNNNNNNNNNNNNNNNNNNNNNNNNNNNNNNNNNNNNNNNNNNNNNNNNNNNNNNNNNNNNNNNNNNNNNNNNNNNNNNNNNNNNNNNNNNNNNNNNNNNNNNNNNNNNNNNNNNNNNNNNNNNNNNNNNNNNNNNNNNNNNNNNNNNNNNNNNNNNNNNNNNNNNNNNNNNNNNNNNNNNNNNNNNNNNNNNNNNNNNNNNNNNNNNNNNNNNNNNNNNNNNNNNNNNNNNNNNNNNNNNNNNNNNNNNNNNNNNNNNNNNNNNNNNNNNNNNNNNNNNNNNNNNNNNNNNNNNNNNNNNNNNNNNNNNNNNNNNNNNNNNNNNNNNNNNNNNNNNNNNNNNNNNNNNNNNNNNNNNNNNNNNNNNNNNNNNNNNNNNNNNNNNNNNNNNNNNNNNNNNNNNNNNNNNNNNNNNNNNNNNNNNNNNNNNNNNNNNNNNNNNNNNNNNNNNNNNNNNNNNNNNNNNNNNNNNNNNNNNNNNNNNNNNNNNNNNNNNNNNNNNNNNNNNNNNNNNNNNNNNNNNNNNNNNNNNNNNNNNNNNNNNNNNNNNNNNNNNNNNNNNNNNNNNNNNNNNNNNNNNNNNNNNNNNNNNNNNNNNNNNNNNNNNNNNNNNNNNNNNNNNNNNNNNNNNNNNNGACGGCAAAGAAGCCACGUGGCAGCCAACUGUGCUUCCUGGGAGCUGACCCAUUUGGUCAGUUUGCCUACAGUGGCAGACGGCAAAGACUUUGCCGUCCGUGGCGGACGGCAAAGAACCUGGCAUCUAGUGACGUGUAGAUGACAUCAUAAGGCGGACGGCAAAGACCAAAGGCUCUUUGCCGUCUGCGGCGGACGGCAAAGGUCUGCCGUUAGCCACUUAACGGACUGACAGCGCAAAUAUUGCCGUCCGCCCUCUUUGCCGUCCGCCGCAGACGGCAAAGAGCCUUUGCCGUCCGCCGCCAGGAAGCAGACGGCAAAGAAGCUGUUUACCGUAGCCUUCUUUGCCGGAGCCUUUUGCCGUCCGCGGCUGGCGGCAAAGGUCUUUGCCGUCCGCCUUUCGAGCCUUUGCCGUCCGCCAUGGCAGACGGCAAAGUAGCUGUUUCCUGUAGUGCUUAACACCAACAUUCUUACUAAAGCAUAAUUACUCAUCAACAUAACUCACAUAUCACAUCAUCAUAUCUCAAAACUAUUAAUAAGAAUCAAGUUUAUUUUGUCCAAUGAUCUUCAUGAAAGUUUUUAUUAUAUCCUUCUUGGAUAUCUAUCACUUUGGGACUAAUUUUCAUGUGUUGCUUUUCAUAAGCUCAAAUAAAUAUAAGUGAAGAUCAUGAGCAUAUUUUUUUCUUUCUCUCAAAUUAAUUUAAGUGAAGCAAGAGAGAAUUUCUUGAACAUUUUACUAACUCUCAAAUAAUUCUAAUUGAAGCAAGAGAGCAUUUCUUCAAAAAUACUAAAGCACACCGUGCUCAAAAAGAUAUAAGUGAAGCACUAGAGAAAGUCCAUAGCUCAUAAAAAUUUAAGUGAAGCAUAGAGAGCAAUUCUAACAAGUCAUGACAUAAUUUUGGCCCUCUAAAAUAGGUGUGUCCAGCAAGGGAUCAAGACUUAAAACACAAAAUAAAACAAGCAAAGACUCAUAUCAUACAAGACGCUUCCAGAAAAACACAUAGUAUGUGACGAAUAAAAAUAUAGCUUCGAGUAAAAUACCGAUGGUCGUUAGAAGUAAGAGGGGAUGCCACUCGGGGGCAUCCCCAAGCUUAGUUGGUUGCUCAUUUUUGGAUAAUAGCUUGGGAUGCAGGGCCAUCCCCAAGCUUAGGCACUUCUAUCCUUCCUUCAUCCAUCGUAAGAUAACCCAAAACUUGAAAACUUCAUUCACACAAAACUCAACAAAACCUUCGUGAGAUCCGUUAGUAUAAGAAAGCAAACCACUACUAUAAGUACUGUAUCAAACCAAUUCAUAUUUUAUUUUUGCAUUAUAUAUACUGUAUUCCAACUUUUCUAUGGCAAAAACUCAUCAAAGAAAACCAUAGAGCCAUCAAAACAAGCACACAACGCAAAUAAAACUGAAUCUGUCAAAACAGAACAGUCUGUAGCAAUCUGACUAUUUCGAAUACUUCUGUAACUCCAAAAUUUCUGAAAACUUAGGAAGACCAGGGUAAUUUGUAUAUUAAUCUUCUUCAAAAGGAAUCAGGGCAAAAUCACUUUUCUGUGAUUUAUUAAAAUUAUUUUCGUGAGUGCAUAAGUUUCUGUUUUUCAGCAAGAUCAAACAAAUAUCACCCAAGAAGAUCCUAAAGGCUUUACUUGGCACCAACACUAAUUAAAACACAAAAAAACACAAUCAUAACAGUAGCAUCAUUGUGCAAACACUCAAGAACAGAAAGCAAAAAGCAAAAAUAAAUUGUAUUCAUUGGGUUGCCUCCCAACAAGUGAUAUAGUUUUACGCCCUUAGCUAGGCAUAAAGCUAGGAUCUAUGUUUUGUCAUCUUUGGUUCGAGAUCCAUAAGAUGCCCCCAUGAUUGAUUCAUAUGGUGGCCUAAUUCUUGUUCUAGGGAAGUGUUCCAUACCUUUCCUCAAGGGAAAUUGGAACUUAAUAUUGCCUUCUUUCAUAUCAAUCACGGCACCGAUAGUGCGUAAAAACGGUCUACCAAGAAUAAUUGGACAAGAUGGAUUGCAAUCAAUAUCAAGAACAAUAAAAUCUAUGGGCACAUAAUUCCUAUUUUCAAGAAUAGGAACAUCAUUAAUUCUUCCCAUAGGCUUUUUAAUAGUAGAAUUAGCCAAGUGCAAAUUUAAAGAGCAUUCUUCAAGAUCGGUAAGACCAAGCACAUCACAUAAAGAUUUCGGAAUUGUGGAAACACUAGCACCCAAGUGUCACAAAGCAAAACACUCAUAAUUUUUAAUCUUGACUUUGAUAGUAGGUUCCCACUCAUCAUGCAAUUUUCUAGGAAUUGAUACUUCUAAUUCCAAUUUUUCUUCAAAAACUUUCAUCAUAGCAUCAACAAUAUGUUUGGUAAAAGAUUUAUUUUGUUCAUAGGCAUGGGAUGAAUUUAUCAUGGAUUGCAACAAAGAAAUACAAUCAAUCAAAGAGCAACUAUCAUAAUUAAAGUCUUUGUAAUCCAAAAGAGUGGGCACAUCACUAGUUAAAGUUUUGACCUCUCCAAACCCACUUUUAUCAAUUUUCUCAACAAGAUUUCACCCUCCGAAUCAUCGGGACGCCUUCUAGCUAAAGUUGACUCUUCUCCAGUCCCUUUUUCAUCAAUCUUAACUUUAAUAAACAAGGAAUCAAUAGAAGAAACACCAAUCAUUUUAGGAUCUUCAUCACUUUUACGAAAGUAAUCACUAGAAAACGCUUUUUCUAAAAAUUGUCUUUUAACUCUAAGCAUAGCGGUUCUUUUCUUACUUUCAUCCAUAGAAACAUAAAUGGAUUUAAUUGAUUCAUCAACCUUAGGCACAAAAAAAUUCAUCUUGAGAUUUUCCACAUCAUGAGAAAUUCUAUCAACACUUCUAGACAAAUCAUCAAUCUUACUCAACUUUUCUUCUAUGGAAGUGUUGAAAACUUUUUGCGUAUUGAUAAAUUCUUUAAUAUUAUUCUCAAGAUCAGAGGUGUUACUAUUAUUAUUAUAAGAUUGAUUUCCAUAGGAAUUACCAUAAUUAUUAGAGGAAUUACUAGGAAAAGGCCUAGGAUUAAAAUUACCUCUAUAAGCAUUGUUAUUGAAAUUAUUUCGAGAGAUAAAAUUCACAUCUAUUGCAUCACUAUUUUGCUCAAUCAAAGUAGACAAAGGCAUAUCAUUAAAAUCAAUAGGAGCACUUUUACUAGCAACCAAUUCAUAAGAGCAUCAACUUUUUCACUCAAAGAAGAAAUUUCUUCAACCGAAUUAACUCUUUUACUAGUAGGAGCCCUUUCGGUAUACCAUUGUGAAUAAUUUGCCAUGAUAUUAUCAAGCAAUUUGGUGGCUUCACCCAAGGUAAUUUCCAUGAAAGUACCACCCGCGGCGGAAUCUAAAAGAUUACGAGAAACAAAAUUCAACCCCGCAUAAAAAAUUUGUAUGAUCAUCCAAAGAUUUAACCCAUGAGUUGGGCAAUUCCUUAGCAUCAUUUUCAUCCUUUCCCAAGAUUGUGCAACAUGCUCAUGUUCAAGUUGCUUGAAAUUCAUGAUCUAGGUUCUAAGGGAAAUAAUUCUUGCGGGCGGAAAAUACUUAGUGAUAAAAGCAUCUUUGCACUUAUUCCAAGAAUCGAUACUAUUGCGAGGCAAAGAAGAGAACCAAAUUUUUGCAGAAUCACGCAAAGAAAACGGAAAUAAUUUCAUCUUCACCACAUCAUUGUCCACAUCUUUUUUCUUUUGCAUAUCGCAUAAUUCCACGAAGGUAUUAAGAUGGGACGCGGCAUCCUCAUUAGGAGUACCGGAAAACUGAUCUUUCAUAACAAGAUUCAGCAAAGCAGUAUUAAUAUCACAAGACUCCGCACUAGUGGCGGGAGGAGCAAUCGGAGUGCCAAUAAAAUCAUUGUUGUUGGUAUUUGAGAAAUCACACAACUUGGUGUUCUCUUGAGUCAUGAUGACUACACAACAAGAUUGCACUCAAAAACAGAUCCGGCAAGAAAACGGCGAACGAAAAAGGGGUUGUCAAUCCCUUUCAGGUAGCGGCGCCCCAAGAUGGGCAAAGGGACGUGAGGAAAUUGUAGUAGAUUGAUAGAUCGAACGCCAAAUAAAAUAAAUAAAAAUAAAUUGCAGCAAGGUAUUUUUGUAUUUUUGGUUUAAUAUAUCUGAAAGUAAAUGCAAAGGAAAAGUAGAUCGCAAAGGCAAAUAUAUGAGAAAGAGACCCGGGGGCCGUAGGUUUCACUAGUGGCUUCUCUCGAGAAAAAUAGCAAACGGUGGGUGAACAAAUUACUGUUGGGCAAUUGAUAGAACUUCAAAUAAUCAUGACGAUAUCCAGGCAGUGAUCAUUAUAUAGGCAUCACGUCCAAGAUUAGUAGACCGACUCCUGCCUGCAUCUACUACUAUUACUCCACACAUCGCCCGCUAUCCAGCAUGCAUCUAGUGUAUUAAGUUCAUGGAAAACGGAGUAAUGCAAUAAGAAUGAUGACAUGAUGUAGACAAGAUCUAUCAAUGUAGACAUAGACCCCAUCGUUUUAUCCUUAGUAGCAAUGACACAUAUGUGCUGGUUCCCCUUCUGUCACUGGGAUCAAGCACCGUAAGAUCGAACCCACUACAAAGCACCUCUUCCCAUUGCAAGAUAAAUAGAUCAAGUUAGCCAACAAAACCCAAAUAUUGGAGAAGAAAUACGAGGCUAUAAGCAAUCAUGCAUAAAAGAGAUCAAAGAAACUCAAAUACUUUCAUGGAUAUAAAAAGAUAUAACUGAUCAUAAACUCAAAGUUCAUCAGAUCCCAAAAAACACACCGCAAAAUAGUUACAUCAUAUGGAUCUCCAAGAGACCAUUGUAUUGAGAAUUCAGCGAGAGAGAGGAAGCCAUCUAGCUACUAACUACGGACCCGAAGGUCUACAAAGAACUACUCACGCAUCAUCGGAGAGGCACCAAUGGAGGUGGUGAACCCCAUCCGAGAUGGUGUCUAGAUUGGAUCUAGUGGUUCUGGACUCUGCGGCGGCUGGAUCAAUAUUUCGUCGGCUCCCCUAGUGUUUCUUGAAUAUUGGGGUAUUUAUAGAUCAAAGAGGCGGUCCGGGGGGCACCCGAGGUGGGCACAACCCACCAGGGAGCGCCUGGGCCUCCUGGCGCGCCCUGGUAGGUUGUGCUCUCCUCGGAACACCCCCCAGGCACAACCAGGGUCCAUUACAUGUCUUCUGGUCCAUAAAAAAUCUCCGUAAAGUUUCGUGGCAUUUGGACUCCGUCUGAUAUUGAUUUCCUGGGAUGUAAAAAACAUGCAGAGAAAAGCAACUGGCACUUGGCACUAUGUCUAUAGGUUAGUACCAAAAAAUGAUAUAAAAUGACUAUAAAAUGAUUAUAAAACAUCCAAGAUUGAUAAUAUAAUAGCAUGGAACAAUCAAAAAUUAUAGAUAUGUUGGAGACGUAUCAAUAUGUAGGACUGAAAGAAUCAAUGCGCCUAGAUAACAUCACCGUGGAACAUAAGCAAUGAACAUGCCAACAAUUAUACAUAAAUGCAUAUAGAUGGGUGGUAACAACAACAACGAAGAUAUUGAUUAACAGAUAAAACUAAAAUGCAUACUUCCACCCUAUACUGGUAUAGAUCCACCUCUAACAUUCUCCUGUAUGUAAAGCGUGGACACUAAAAGAACCAGAAGCCUGAUGAUAAGACAAGGCGGCAGGAAAAUAAAUAAUGGAACAUGUACCUGAAGGUUAGAGCCAGAUGGUGCUGGAGCAGAUUGGGUGCGGGUAUGACGAGGUAUUUAUAGCUGUUAAAAGGUAAGUGUGGACAAUGGACAACCUAUCUCCACCGCCUUCACACACGCAGAAAAUCUGCGCUGAUCUUCGCCCAAUUAUACUUGGGGAAAUCAAUAUUAGUCGCAAAUAUUUGGUUAUUAGUGAGUCAUAUCCCCACAUAAUAUUCUCGACUGAUGUUUAUAUGCAAGUUAAUGCUUCAUAUAUAAGGUCGUGUAUUAAACUAUAUCUCCUCUAGUUAUUAGAAGUUUUAUGGGUUAUAGUUCCAAAUUUUGAAUGUUGGCCAAUAUACCACUACUAGGAAAUACCUUAUAGGUAGAUAAUUAGCAGUAGAGUUGGUUAGGUGACCCACGCUGUUGUUAAGUAGUAGUAGCGCGGGUCAAAACACCACGCUACAGGUCUAGUAGUAGAUCGGGUGUAUACACCCAACGCUGCUGCUAAGUGGGCCCCACAGACCACAGUACCCCCGGUUCGAGCCAUAGUGGCAGCGCUGGGUAUAAGACCCACGCUACAACUAACAUGGUAGCUAUAGCGCGGGGCUUAUACCAAGCACUGCCACUACUAGUACACAGGGCUAGCUGGUGGGCCCCAUUUAGCAGCAGCGCUGGUGCAUGAUAGAGCGCUACACGUAAUGGGCAUAGCAAUAGCGCGGGUCUUCUUCCCCAAGCUACUGUUGUGGCAACCUUAUCCCUCCUCCAACGACGACCCUCUCACUCACUCAUGCUUCUUUCUCUUCCCGUUGUCGUCGCCGCCCUUCUCCUUCCUCGGUAAGCAGCCUCCCUCCUCCACCUGUCGCCCUCGUCCCUCCUCCAUAAACUUGUUCUCCUCCCUCCUCCUCCUCUCUUCUCCCUCGGGCCGCCAUCCUCCCUCCUCCUCCUCUAUCCCCUCCCUCUUCCUCCUCCUUCAUCCCACCUCCCUCCUCCAUCCUCCCCCUCCUUCGGCUGCCAUCCUCCUCCUCCUCCUCUCUCCUCCCUCCUCCCUCCUCCUCUCUCCUUUAUGUUUUCAGUAAAAAAAUAGUAAAAUAUAGAAAUUUUAGUAAUAUAAUAGAAAAUUUUAGGUAUCAAAUAGGUUUUUCGAAUAUAGAAAUAUCUUAGGUAAAGAAACAGUAAAAUAUAAAAACUAGUAAUGGAAUACAAUAUAAAGACUAGUAAUAUAAUAGAAAAUUUUCAGUAAAAAAUAGUAAUAGAAUAGAAAAUUUAAGGUAUCGAAUAGGUUUUUUGAAUGUAGAAAUUUUUUAGGUGUCGAAUAAAAUAUAAAAAUAUAAAAAUGUUGUUGACAAUUAUAUUGUGAAUUAUUUUUAUGUCAUUAUCACUUUUUCAUCGAAGAAUGUUAUAUGAGAUUUGAUGAUGUAAAUUUUCACUCGGUGGAAUACGUCGCGUCCCCCUCUCCCGUUCGCUCCCGCCCCGUCCCCAUGAGAACCUCCUCUCCUCUCUGUUCAGUUUUAGGUUUAGUUCUUUUUUAAUAUAUAUGUAAAUGGAUGUAUGUUCAUUAGAUGGAUGGAUGCAUUUUGUAGGGAACAAAUCCGAGUGCCUAUGUUUUACUGAAAUGUUGAUUCAUUUCCAUUCCCGCAAAUUUUAGGCACUCGAUAUGUCCUGCUCUUAGCAAAGGUCAUGCGAAAUUUUCCUUGAAUUCCAGCAUGACUUGUUCUAGAAAGUAGGACAUAUCGAGUGCUCGUUAUUUGCCAGAACAAGAAUUAAAUGACAUUCAUGCAAAACACCAGAAUGUCGAUACUCCCAUCCAUUCUUGGGGGGUUGCUACCUGUGAUCCAUCCCCUCCACAGCUUCGUGAGGGCAUAUCAUCACUCAUUAUCCGAUCUGCUUGGUGGCUCUGGAAACAUCGGAAUGGUUGCAUCUUUGAUGGCGAUCGGCCCUCUAUCUCUCUUGUCUGCAAGACCAUCCAAGAUGAGGCGUGGCUUUGGCCCAGGGCUGGCACCGCAGGGCUAGCGAAUAUCAUCCCUGAGACUUAGUCUUGUUUUGGGGGCUGAACAACCCCCUCUAUGUAUGUUCCUCUGCUCGCUUCCAGUCCUUUUGUGUACAUGGGAUAGUAGGCGUAAUAACGUAUUGUUGUCACUCUUCUUCUAUCAAUGGAAAUAUAUGCAAUAUUUGUGUAUUCGCAAAGAAAAAGAGAUAACAGGCACCAUUGAUGCGGGUCACUUAAAAGGGAGAUCAUAGUAGAGGUUAGAGAUGGUAGCAGCUUGGAGAACGUAGGCCUACCCUAGCGUGCACUUGCAGCCACGUGAAAUAAACAGAACCACGGAGGGCAGCGGGGCGCGAAUGAUAAGCCUAGCACAAACACGAGAAGCUAUCAAUACUACUAGAGGUUAACACAUGCUUCGCAUCACCGUUCUUCACCUGUGGGAUUAACUCUUCUUUAUCUAGUAGAUUAUUUUGGAUGGCUGUUUUGUUUUGAUUCUAGUUAUGUUAUAACGGUGUUUUUUGUGCAUAUAGCGUGCUAGGUUGUGGUUGGAGACAAUAUCUUGUUCUAAGAGAUGAGUGGAGUGUUCGAUGCAUGGUUGUGGUGUCUUUACAUGUUUCGGCCUCAGUGUCAGUUGGUGGUGGUUGUGUGAGCCCCUUGGGAGCUCCUAUUCUUUUUUCUGCAUGAAAACUUUCAGUCUAUUUAUCUUCAAUCAUGGUAGUACAACGAACACCAGAAAUAAUAAAAAGUUAUAUCCAGAUCCUUAGACCACCUAGCGACGAUUACAAGCACUGAAGCGAAGCCAAGGUGCGCCGUCGUCAUCACCCAUCCCUCGCCGGAGCUAGAAAAAACUUGUGGUAAUACAUAGUCGAGAAGUCAUCGUGAGCAUCUCCAACAGGCGCCGAACGCGCCACGCGCAAAAAACUGCUUUGUCGUGCGCCCAUCGCCUGGUUUGACGCGGCUCGCAGCGCUGGCUCCAGCAGCCGUGCUAAAAUGCAGCGCGCGUGCGCCGCUCCAGCAGCGCGCAAAAAAUGCAGCGCGCGUGACUCACCGGGGCAUUGCAUAUAUGGCAUUUUGAACACAAAAUGAAGUUGAAACAUUCAAAAUGCAAUAAACAUGACAUAUAAAAUUUCACACAAACAAGUUGAUGAAGAAAAGUUCAUGCCCACAAGUUCAUCCAACCAAGUUCAAAAUGCGAAUCAAGUUCAAUACACAAAUGAAAGACACAUCAUUCCUCGUCGUCGUCUUCGUCCUCGUCCUCAUCUUCGGAAGACGAUUCUUCCGCCUCCGAAGAUGAAUCUUCCUCCCUCUCCUCAUCGCGCACCGCAUCACGUGAAGCUCCGACGGUGUUGGCAAGAACUUCAACGGCAUCUUCAUGGGAAUGUGUGCGAGGAGGCACAUCGAAAGACAUUCCGCCCAUGGCGGCCGGAGGUGCACCCAUGCCUCCCAUGAGAGAAGCAAAACUCAUGGCUCCCAUGGUGGCCAUAGCGUCGGGGGGUGCUCCAAAGCCAGCAAUGCCUCCCAUUGCACCGCCCACGGUACCUCCGAAGCCACCCAUGCCACCCAUGGCGCCGAGGCCACCACCACCCAUUGCGCCGAGGACGCCGCCACCCAUUGCACGAACCAUGGCUCUUUUUUGGAUCAAGACGUCUUCACGGGCAAGAUUGACAUACUCCUUUUGCGCCGCAUUGAGGUUAGAUGUGUCCAAGAAGAACAAGUGCUUCUCCCAUUCCAACAAUCUAGUUCGCUCCUCAUUGCUCACCUUCCUCUCCCCCAAAGCCACCUUCCUCUCCUCGGCCGCCACCCUCCUCUCUUCGGCCGCCAACCUCCUCUCCUCGGCCACGGCAUCUUGGUUCCUUGCCAUUUUCCUCACCUCGUUGGCUUCUUUUCUUGCCUUCACAAUAGCUUCCAUAGCAUUUUUGAGCUCAUCAUCUCCUUUCCUCUUCUUCUUUUCGGUUUUGUCUUUCUUGCACUCAUCCGGUCGCUUUGGCUUCGAGUAUGAAACCGAGUUGGGUGGGGGGCUUCUCUUGCCGUCAUCACUUGAUGCAUCAUCCUCGUCAUCAUCAUCAUCCAACUUAAUUGUUCGCUUGCGUUUGUUGCUCAAAUGCAAAUCAUCCAAAUCUUCACGCUUCUUCCAUUUCUCAUCAUCCUUCAACACGUUAUAGCAAUGGGGCAAGGUAAAGACCCUUCCUUUCUUGAUCUUCCCCUUCUUGGUUGUCCUCUCCUCUUCUUUGAACAAGUUUUGCGCAAUGUUGUACUACAUGAAAACAAAGCAAGUUAGCACCAACAACAAGUAUGAUGAACAUGUAUGAAAUGCCACUUACUAUCGUCCUCAUUUGUGCCACUUGGGUUCAACUUGUCAACCGCCUUUUGACAGGCCGCCCACCUUUGACAAUCCGAGUUGAUUGUCGACCAUCGGGACCGAAGUGAUCUCUCGGAGCGGUGAAUUCCACUCAAGUUGUGAACAUCAAAGUGUUCUUUCAUCCGCCCCCAAUAAGCAUCUCUACUUUGAUCACCUCCAACGGAUGGAUCCCUCGAAACUUGCAACCAAGUAUUGCAUAGUAAGAUGUCAUCGACGUUGCUGUAAUUGCCCGCUCUUCCUUUUGGUGCGUCGACAAUGCCCUCACCCUCCUCGUCCACCUCCAACUCAUGGUCUCGAAAUGCACGUCAUUGGUUUGAGACCAAUGCGAAUUGUUGGAGCCAACACCCAUCGUUGACAUGUAUGCAUCAUCAUUGAGACUACAAAGUUUUUUGAAAACAAUGCAAAUAAGCUAUCUAUAUGUAAAUGCAUUGAAAAAAUAACAAAAUAAUGAAAAGUUGGAAAUUUUUUUACCUUGGGGGCAUUUCGUCGAACAUGUUGUGCGCGUUGGCCGCCGGCGCUUCGGUAGCCGCCGCGCCCGUCGCACGCCCUGCAAGCUUCUUCCUCCUCGCCUUCGAGGUGCCGGAGCCGUCCGUCGCCUUGUUUUUCUUCGCCGAUGUCUUGCCCUACUUUGGCCGCGCCGCAUUGGGGAGCUUUGAGGAGGGGGCGGCGGCUCGGGCCGGCGCCGGUGCGACGCCACCCGCCGCCGAGGUCAUCCGCGGCGGCAUGUAGAGGUCGAGCGCGAGGCCGAUGGUCGGAGGAGCUCCGGCGGAGGCGAGGCCAACGCCACCCGGGCUAGGGUUUGCGGCGGCGGCGGUGGUGGAGGGGUCGCGGCUAUAGGAUGAGGUGAGCGGGGUGCCGGCGCGUGCCUUCAUGGGGUGCAGUUCGCCAGCGCCGGUGCGCGCAUGGCGUAGGAGGUGGAGAAGAGAGAGUGCAGCGCGAGCGCUCGAGUGUGUCGCGCGCGGAAGCGAGCGCCCCAAAUACACCGCGCGAGAUAGCGAAUCCGACCGCGCGCCCAACUCCUUAUACCGCGCGCGCGGUUAUUGCGCGCCCGCUGGAGCCACCAACCGGGUUGCGCGCGCGCUAAACUGGCUAAAUUUGCGGCGCGACGCUUGUUUAGCGCGCCUGUUGGAGAUGCUCUUAGCCCCAUGAGACCAGCGCACUAGAACAACAACUGCCACCGAUGAAAAGAUGUGUAGAUCGUAAGAAUCUAACCUGAAGACACACGAACAAAGACCGGAUCCGAUUAGAUCCAUCAAAGACAACCACCGACCGAAUUCUACAAGACCAGCUUGUCACGACCGGAUUUUCGGGACAUUAAUUUCCCAGAAAACAGCCUUUGUGCUCACUAGCCCCAGGAUUACUGUUAGCUGAUGAGACACCAACUUGACACAAGAAUUCCAAGCAAAGUACAAAAUAUGUAGUACAAGACCAUUGUGGCCUAGGAGUACAACACUUGGUUUCUAGUGGUUGAUGGUGGAAGCGGUUUGUGGUUCAUCUGUGUCUAUGGGACUCCAUUUCCCACAAGAACAGCUGACCAGGAUAACUCCUAUCUUCGCGAGGCUGCUAUCGCCAUAGCGUAGGUUCUGGGGCUGUCACCGCAAUGCUAUCUCCAUGCCCGAAAUCUGGCCAAGACAAUAGCCAGGGACAAGCCAGUGAGUACGUUUGAAUGUACUCGCAAACAUUAAGAACACGGGUAUAAUAUAACAAGGGAUAAUCAUGCUCCGAAAUAUUUUUAUGAUGAUAACGUCUUUCAUGAAAUAAACGAAAUCUUUGAUGCACGCAUGCAGGUAAAAUAUGAACAUGCAAUACGGGGGUAGAAAUAGAAUGCGCUAAUCGAGUGUCCGAAGUGACUCCUCGAAAGGGGUGCAAAAUAAAUUAACAAAUGCCGCAGUCGGGCGUCUGAGCGACACCACAUAAAGGGCUUAUAAAGAAUAAUUAAAUAACAAGUAUGCCGCAGUCGGGCGUCUAAGCGACGCCACAUAAAGGGCUUAUAAAGGAUAAAUAAAUAAUAAACAUGCCGCAGUCGGGCGUCUGAGCGACGCCACAUAAAGGGCUUAUAAAGGAUAAAUAAAUAAUAAACAUGCCGUAGUCGGGCGUCUGAGCAACGCCACAUAAAGGGCAUAUAAAGGAUAAAUAAAUAACAAACAUGCCGCAGUUGGGCGUCUGAGCGACGCUACAUAAAGGGCUUACAUAAGAAUAAUCACAGUGAAUAUCCAGGAGGUAGAACCGUCCCAGGGAUACUCAAUAAUUCAAAUAAAAUAACUGGUUAGUCCACAAUAACAAUAAUCAUAAUCCUCAUGUGUCAUAGGUCAUAAACAAAAUCUAGUCUAGCCGUUUCUCCAUCCGAAGACCGUCGCGAGAUUCUAGUUUAGCCGUUUCUCCAUCCGAAUACCGUUACUAUGAUCCAGUUUAGCCGUGUCUCCAUCCGAAAACCGUUACUAUGAUCCAGUUUAGCCGUGUCUCCAUCCGAAAACCGUUACUAGACUUAUCUCAGUCUGAAGUCCUUCCCAAGAACAUGGCUAUCCGAAUGGAUAUAUCCUCUGCAGAGGGUGUACUAUUUACCCACGAGUAACGGAUUUAUUUAGCCCAUCGGGACUAAUUCCGCCUACGGCCUUUUAAUUGAAAACACGCCUGACCUGCACACACCAGCUUAACUUACCGGUGUCUGGAAUCACCCACGACACCUGCCAAGCAAAACUCUAAGUGGGGAGGCUACAACCUCGACGUAGCAUGGGAUCAAAUUUAUAUUCGCGCGCUCUAAGGGGUGCCCCACUCUCGGUCCCAACCGGAAACACCCAUGCCCCCAGACCAGGUGGCAUGCCUACCGGAUGCACCCGGUAUCUUCCACCAUGGCCUCUCUGUACGGUGUGUGCUUUGGUAAGGGGUUGACAACUUACUGAACCAUACCCUACCUGCGGUAGGGACAAGUGGUAGUACAAAACAAGUAGUGGAAGAUACCAAUCAAGACUCGACCUACGGCCAACUCGGGAGGUCCAAGUAUUCUCCAACGAUAUUACCAUUAACAGAUAAACUCACCACUCAACAAGCCUCACCAUACUAUACCGGACAUACUCGUCUCGGCGAGGAACUAGGGACAAGCCCGUGUCUACCCAAGACCACGACUUUCCCGGCUUCCUUCCGGUACGCAUGAGAAGCUCACGAGGAUGACUACUAUCAACAGCAUGACCGUUACUACCAGCAAGGAAUCUCCAUUGUGCAUUCAUGCGAAAGAUUUUUAUCGUCACAUAAAGAUAACGUAUGCUCCACGUCAAGUGGUGUUGUAACCGUAUCAAAACACCACACAAAAAUAUUAUGCCAGAGUUCAGAAUGCUUGCCUUCAAGAGUAUGCAAAGGGUGCACUUUUUGAAAGCUUUUCUUCUUUCUCCAUUUCCUAUUUUGAAAAUAUUCAAAUAACAAAUAUUUCAAACACAGUACAAAAAGUUGUCUCAAAUAUUUUUGAAAUAAAUCUUAAAAUAAACUAGCUAAAAUUUGAGAGAGGUAGGAAAAAGAAUCAACUCAUUUGGAUUUUUAUUUUAAAAGAUAUAGCCAGUCAAAGUUUGGUCAAAUCUCUGUUUUUAAUAAAACCAGAAAAAGGAAAACGUUUCGAGGGGGAAUACGCUUUCGGGAUAGGGGAUACGUACUCGCGGAAAUACGCUUCCACUUAAGCCAGCGUGGGUGGCGCGGGGGUCACUGACAGUGGGUCCAGAGGGCCCACUGGUCAGGUUUGACCAUUCUCUUCUCUCCCUCCUCUUCACUGCCCGCACGGGAGCGGGACUCCGGCGAUCGCCGCCGGCGAUUGGCGGCUCCUCGCGCGCUCCAGAGGGCAGGGAUGGACCCGCCAGACCGGGGCGGUCCUCUUGGUGGUCGUCGGGUCGACGGUGGUGGGAGGAGUCGCCGGCAGCGAGCUCCGCGGCGGAGGGGGCUACGGGAGUGAAGUGGGUUUUGGGCUCCGGUGGUCUCCGAUCGAAGCUGAGGUGUUGGGCAGCUCCGCAAGGACAAGGGAAAGCGUUUGGUGGCGCUGGAUGGGCGGGGGAGUGGCUGGUUGUGACGAAUGGCACCGGACGGCAGCGGCGGCCGAACCGGCCGGAGUUGGGGAAGAUGGCCUCUUUCGGUCAAUCCACUGCUAGGGUAGCUCUAGGGGAAAGGCCUGAGGUCGCCUGAGUGCUUGAACGAGUUCGGGGAUCCCUUAAAUAGGCGCUCGAGGCUGAUCCCGCGGCGGCUGUGGAUAAGAACGCCGGCGACCGCGGUGCUGUAGCUGCAGGGCGACGUGGUGGCGACGAGCGCGUGCCGACGGGCUUCGGGAUAAGCUCGAGCUGUUCAUAGGGGCAGCUGGCGCGCUGGUGUGGCUUGGGCGGCGCCGUCCAUGGCAGAGGCUCGCUGCCGACGCCGGCGUUCCACCAAAAGCUCUGCCAGCGGGUCCAUCGCACAAAUUAAUUUUUGGGUACCACGCACAAGUUACAACACAAAAACAAAAGCUGGGAUAAUAAACAUAGCGGUGACGGUUACAAAGAAAACGGCAGAAAGACAGGGUCUAGAGAAAACGCCUCUGGUACUGGGGCACACACCUCUUCUAUCGGGGGAAGCGGGUUGACCAGUCGAUGAAUGCGCCUCUCCUGGUUAGGCCUCACUGGUCUGCCAAUAGCGAUUCGAGGAUUUAAAUCAGCGAGGCUCUGGAGAUAACCCAUUACUCGCUGAGUCAAACGCUCCUGAGCGAUAACGUACUGGGUAAGGUUGGCCAGUACAGGAUCUCUCUCAAUUCGUCCACCGGGAAAAGAUGCAACUUCUCCGGGUGCUGCAUGACUCGGAAAAUAAUAAUAUCCUCGUUCGCUAGCAUAGGGUACUGCGAAUCGAAGACGAGCGAGCGCCUCGUACGCAGCAGCUUCUAUGGCCAUAUGCGGAGUCGGCAUGGAUUUCCCCACAAAGGAAACUUCCGUUGGGUCUUGGUUUGGGUAUGCGGGAGGGAUGUGCACCACUGCCCAAUAUUUCGAGGUGGAUGGGGUGAUCCUCGAUUUGAGCAACUCAUACUGGGGUGGAUGGGUGGCACUCAUGGUACCGCAGGUAAAGUCCCACAAUAAUUUAACAAAACUACCCGGGGUUGCGUCUGGGGUUCUCAGAUAAAUACUGGGGGUCGGCAUGGCGAAGAAAUGGCUGUGAGCGCUGCGCACAAGGUGAGGGGUACUCGGCAAGGUCACGAGGUGGCCUUUAUAUAGCAUUGGGGCUGGGUUAACUACUGUGGUGCAGGGUAACUGGUUGUCGAUCCUGUUCUGGGGUCAAAGCCACAGAUAUACGCAUCACAUAAAUGUGGCGCAUUACUGUGGCUGCCGUCGGGGUUGGUCUUGGUAGCUGCGCCCGAUAUUUAAAAAAAAUGCAACUGUACGCCAACGUAUAUAUGUAUAGCUACUACUCCAAAAAUAGGGACGCACAAGCAGACAGCAUUUAAUAAAAGCGAUACAGGAUCACACCAUUACAAGCGGAGGUAAACUAAGGCUUGAUACUACUCAAGCGGCUUAGUCUACUUCGUUAAUGUCUAAGUGGGCUGGCCUGGCGGAUGCCGAGGUUUCUCCACGGGUUUCACCGUCGGAAUUUGCUGGUUGAGGUUGAGGGGCUGCAGGGUCGGGGUAGUGGUGAUGACCAUCGCGGGGGUUGUUGGCCACAAUCCCGUUGGAACGGGUUCCCAAAAGGCGACGAAGCGCUUCUGGGGACACCAAAGCACUCUGGUUGAUGGCUGGGGCAGACCUCAAGGGACCGAUCGGGUGUCCGAACAACACGACUGGGUUGUCGGCGUCGGGCUCCAUUUCUCCUCUCGCCGGGGCUCGGCGAACCAGUUCUCCACGAGCUGCGAUCAGAUCGAGGGUGACUUGAUCGAACAGUUGCUCUAGUGCGCUUACAUAGCGCACCAGAUGCAAUAGUGCAGGAUCUGUCUCGUGAUCUCCGUUGGCAACCUGGGGCGGCCUACCAUACCCGUCACGACUGGGGUAGUAGUAGAACGAGCGACAGUUAACUCUGGGCGACAAGUGCCGGAGUUGAACUAUAGCUUCUCGGGCUGCCAGCUGGAUGGCUUGUGGCUCAAAGGAAGUUGUCCUUCCAGUGAACCUGUAGGGGCGUUCUGGCGACAGACCCCUACCAUAGAUGUGCACAGUGGCCCAGUACUGACGGCUCUCACCGUACAUGGGUCCUUGGUACACAACAUAUUCAGGAGGCUCUUCUAACGCAUAGGCACGGCGGGUGAGGUUUGCGAGCACGGUCACAAAAACAUCCAAGGUUGGUUGCUGUGGUCUCAUUGUGAACAAUGGGGCCAGGCAUUGCGGCUUGGUUUUGGGAAAGGGGCUGUGCUGGGUUGAGGCUAGCGUGCCCUUUUUAUAGGAAAAGGGGACGGACUCUUCCUUCGCACACUUGCGAUUGAGACGUGUUAGGUGACGGUCACUGCUGUGCGAUCGACGGGCUAGGCUGAUAGGUUGGGCACCGUCUGCGAAAAGGCGUCGGGUCACUGUGGGGCUAUCUUACGCGGGAAGCUUGGCCGGGGUUAGGUUAAGGUCUGGUGGUUUGGUUAACCUAGGUUUAUUGACCUGGCUAAGAUAGGAUUAGCCAAUGGUCAGCCUGGCUCUGAUACCAAGUCUGUCACGACCGGAUUUUCGGGACAUAAAUUUCCCAGAAAACGGCCUUUGUGCUCACCAGCCCCAGGAUUACUGUUAGCUGAUGAGACACCAACUUGAUACAAGAAUUCCAAGCAAAGUACAAAAUAUGUAGUACAAGACCAUUGUGGCCUAUGAGUAGAACACUUGGUUUCUAGUGGUUGAUGGUGGAAGCGGUUUGUGGUUCAUCUGUGUCUAUGGGACUCCAUUUCCCACAAGAACAGCUGACCAGGAUAACUCCUAUCUUCGCGAGGCUGCUAUCGCCAUAGCGUAGGUUCCGGGGCUGUCAUCGCAAUGCUAUCUCCAUGCGCGAAAUCUGGCCAAUACAAUAGCCAGGGACAAGCCAGUGAGUACGUUUGAAUGUACUCGCAAACAUUAAGAACACGGGUAUAAUAUAACAAGGGAUAAUCAUGCUCCGAAAUAUUUUUAUGAUGAUAAUGUCUUUCACGAAAUAAACGAAAUCUAUGAUGCACGCAUGCAGGUAAAAUAUGAACAUGCAAUACGGGGGUAAAAAUAGAAUGCGCUGAUCGAGUGUCUGAAGUGACUCCUCGAAAGGGGUGCAAAAUAAAUUAACAAAUGCCGCAGUCGGGCGUCUGAGCGACACCACAUAAAGGGCUUAUAAAGAAUAAUUAAAUAACAAGUAUGCCGCAGUCGGACGUCUGAGCGACGCCGCAUAAAGGGCUUAUAAAGGAUAAAUAAAUAAUAAACAUGCCGCAGUCGGGCGUCUGAGCGACGCCACAUAAAGGGCUUAUAAAGGAUAAAUAAAUAAUAAACAUGCCGCAGUCGGGCGUCUGAGCGACGCCACAUAAAGGGCUUAUAAAGGAUAAAUAAAUAACAAACAUGCCGCAGUCGGGCGUCUGAGCGACGCCACAUAAAGGGCUUACAUAAGAAUAAUCACAGUGAAUAUCCAGGAGGUAGAAACGUCCCAGGGAUACUCAAUAAUUCAAAUAAAAUAACUGGUUAGUCCACAAUAACAAUAAUCAUAAUCCUCAUGUGUCAUAGGUCAUGAACAAAAUAUAGUCUAGCCGUUUCUCCAUCCGAAGACCGUCGCUAGAUUCUAGUUUAGCCGUUUCUCCAUCCGAAUACCGUUACUAUGAUCCAGUUUAGCCGUGUCUCCAUCCGAAAACCGUUACUAUGAUCCAGUUUAGCCGUGUCUCCAUCCGAAAACCGUUACUAGACUUAUCUCAGUCUGAUGUCCUUACCCAAGAACAUGGCUAUCCGAAUGGAUAUAUCCUCUGCAGAGGGUGUACUAUUUACCCACGAGUAACGGAUUUAUUUAGCCCAUCGGGACUAAUUCCGCCUACGGCCUUCUAAUUGAAAACACGCCUGACCUGCACACACCAGCUUAACUUACCGGUGUCUGGAAUCACCCACGACACCUGCCAAGCAAAACUCUAAGUGGGGAGGCUACAACCUCGACGUAGCAUGGGAUCAAAUUUAUAUUCGCGCGCUCUAAGGGGUGCCCCCCUCUCGGUCCCAACCGGAAACACCCAUGCCCCCGGACCAGGUGGCAUGCCUACCGGAUGCACCCGGUAUCUUCCACCAUAGCCUCUCUAUACGGUGUGUGCUUUGGUAAGGGGUUGACAACUUACUGAACCAUACCCUACCUGCGGUAGGGACAAGUGGUAGUACAAAACAAGUAGUGGAAGAUACCAAUCAAGACUCGACCUACGGCCAACUCAGGAGGUCCAAGUAUUCUCCAACGAUAUUACCAUUAACAGAUAAACUCACCACUCAUCAAGCCUCACCAUACUAUACAGGACAUACUCGUCUCGGCGAGGAACUAGGGACAAGCCCGUGUCUACCCAAGACCACGACUUUCCCGGCUUCCUUCCGGUAUGCAUGAGAAGCUCACGAGGAUGACUACUAUCAACAGCAUGACCGUUACUACCAGCAAGGAAUCUCCAUUGUGCAUUCAUGCGAAAGAUUUUUAUCGUCACAUAAAAAUAACGUAUGCUCCACGUCAAGUGGUGUUGUAACCGUAUCAAAACACCACACAAAAAUAUUAUGCCAGAGUUCAGAAUGCUUGCCUUCAAGAGUAUGCAAAGGGUGCACUUUUUGAAAGCUUUUCUUCUUUCUCCAUUUCCUAUUUUGAAAAAUAUUCAAAUAACAAAUAUUUCAAACACAGUACAAAAAGUUGUCUCAAAUAUUUUUGAAAUAAAUCUUAAAAUAAACUAGAUAAAAUUUGAGAGAGGUAGGAAAAAGAAUCAAUUCGUUUGGAGUUUCAUUUUAAAAGAUAUAGCCAGUCAAAGUUUGGUCAAAUCUCUGUUUUUAAUAAAACCAGAAAAAGGAAAACGUUUCGAGGGGGAAUACACUUUCGGGGUAGGGGAUACGUACUCGCGGAAAUACGCUUCCACUUAAGCCAGCGUGGGUGGCGCGGGGGUCACUGACAGUGGGUCCAGAGGGCCCACUGGUCAGGUUUGACCAUUCUCUUCUCUCCCUCCUCUUCACUGCCCGCACGGGAGCGGGACUCCGGCGAUCGCCGCCGGCGAUUGGCGGCUCCUCGCGGGCUCCAAAGGGCAGGGAUGGACCCGCCAGACCAGGGCGGUCCUCUUGGUGGUCGUCGGGUCGACGGUGGUGGGAGGAGUCGCCGGCGGCGAGCUCCGCGGCGGAGGAGGCUACGGGAGUGAAGUGGGUUUUGGGCUCCGGUGGUCUCCGAUCGAAGCUGAUGUGUUGGGCAGCUCCGCAAGGACAAGGGAAAGCGUUUGGUGGUGCUGGAUGGGCGGGGGAGUGGCUGGUUGGGACGAAUGGCACCGGACGGCAGUGGCGGCCGAACCGGCCGGAGUUGGGGAAGAUGGCCUCUUCCGGUGAAUCCACUGCUAGGGAAGCUCUAGGGGAAAGGCAUGAGGUCGCCUGAGUGCUUCAACGAGUUCGGAGAUCCCUUAAAUAGGCGCUCGAGGCUGAUCCCGCGGCGGCUGUGGAUAAGAACGCCGGCGACCGCGGUGCUGUAGCUGCAGGGCGACGUGGUGGCGACGAGCGUGUGCCGACGGGCUUCGGGAUAAGCUCGAGCUGUUCAUAGGGGCAGCUGGCGCGCUAGUGUGGCUUGGGAGGCGCCGUCCAUGGCAGAGACUCGCUGCCGACGCCGGCGUGCCACCAAAAGCUCUGCCAGCGGCGCUGUAGGGCGCCAGGGGUGGCGUGGAGAGUGGGCGAGUGUAGUGCGCGGCUCUGUAGGCGAGCCAGGGCCAUGUGCGGAACGCGGCGAGUGCGGCAGUGCGACGCGGCGGCUCGGUGCGCGCGUGCAAAACGUGCGCUCUGGGCGCGCCCAGAGCACGCACGGGACAUGCUCGACGAAAUGCCAGGGCAGCCUAGAGUGCGAGGGUGAGGCUGGCAAUUAACAGAACUAGGUUAGGAGUAGCUAGGGUCUUAGUGGACAAGGUUGCUGGGUCAGAGGAUCAAGAUCACAGUGCAAACUAAAACUCAUGCCAAAACAGACUGUGCACACCAUGUGUUCGACAAAAUGCCAAGUGCACUUAGGCAACUCUUGGAGUGGUCAAAAUCUCCAGGUCAGGGUCUCUCUAGAUGUGGGUGAUGAUGGCAAGAUCAUUUGGGCAAAACCAGAAACUUGCUAGUGCAAGUUUUGCAAAACUCCAGUUUUGGACAGAAGGAAAAUGGUCUCAUUGCAUGCACUUAAAAUCCUCCAAAGGGUCCACUCUCCUGGACUUAAGGGUUUUGUAGGGAGGGCUACAAGCAGGAAAAAGCUCAGGGUCACUAGAGCAAAAUAAAAUAGGGUUGCAGUACAAAUCACCAAACUGGGCCAGAAAGAAAAAGAGGUUGAUUCACUCAAAAGUUUCAAAGAGUAUCACUGGGUUUUGGUACAAAGUUUAAUUAUAUGCAUCUACUGACAUCUCCAACACAUGGAAGAAUUUUUAAAGAAAUAUUUAAAUAGGUUGUAGUGCAAAAAUGACUACUGGACCAGAUUUGAAAAGUUGAUGUAGAGCUCAAAAUCUCCAAUAACCAAAAGAUGUUUUUGCAUAAAAGUGAUGUGGAAACAUCACAUGACAUCCCCAAAUUUUGGUGAAAUUUUUAAAAGCAUUUGCCAAAUGGUUACAGUGCAAAACAGGCUCCAAAUUUAUUAAAAAUCAUUUUAAAGGAAUAAAGCUUAGGGAAAAGCAAAUCUUGCAAUUAAAUCCACUGAUAAAGAAUUGUUCCAAAGAGAGAGUAUACAAGUCCAAUAAUACCUUAGGAAAGUUUUUCACUUGAGGUAAAAAUCCACAGUAUCAAAAAGGGUAAAUCUUGUCAAAUGGAAAAGUUUAAUUUCCUGGCAAAAAUUUUAAUUAAUAAAACAAGCUCAAAAUUUUGGGGUGUCACACAGCUAGAGACACGCCUCCACACGCCCUCCAAUGAUGCUAGACACACCACCAGAAUGGGGGCUAGGCGGGGAGAAUCCAAUUCCAUCUUCGGGGAGCUGCCUUUGUCUCGUCUUUCUCAGCAGGACACAAACCCUAACAAAACCAAUAGAAACAUCUAAAAAGGAAUCCCUCCCGCUGGCAAGGCCUAGGAUCCACCGCGUCUCCAUGGCCCUUGGGCCACCAGAGACGAGGCAAACUAGCGGCGGCGCUUGCGGGAGACAGAGGAACCCUAGCGUUUUUGGAGGAGGCGGUGGUAGCUAUGUGUGCAUUGGGAUCUCCUAUUCCACAUUCAAACUGUGGAAUUGCUGCUAUACCGCUCACAUAGGCCGUUCGCUGAAGCUCUGGCUCGCUCAACAUGGCUCACUUUUCCACUUGCUUAUUUAGUUUUUUUUCCUCGCUCCGGUGCUAGCUCAGAAAUUACCAGCUACUAUAUUUUUAUUUGAAAACAACCAUUAAAUCAAAUAUGCUCAUGGAUUAAAAGAUGGAUCUUUAAAAUUGCUCUGAAUUAAAAACAAUGGAUGUUUUUUAAAAAUCUUAGUGCCUUAAAAAUAUGUCCAUGGAUUUCAAAAAUUAUUUGUGAAAAUUUAAAGGAGGUUCCUAAACUGAAAAAAUUUCACUAACUUUAAUUUUAUUAUGAACUUUUGGAAUACUCCUACAUAUGCUCCUCAGGACGGCGCCCUAGGUGUCCUUGGUGAAGGUUUGGUUUGAUUUUAGGUAACAAUUUUGGGCUUCAGCAUGCAUGUCCAUUUUCUGGGAUAGUUUUUACUGUCAUUGAAAAUCAUGGAUGGGUUAGUGAAUGGAGUAUAAAUAGAAAGAAAAAAUUGUGUCUGCGAGAUUUGAACUGAGUACCUCGCUCUUAUGUAGGAGUUAGACUAAGAUGGCUUCAAAUCGAAAAGUGUUUAACAAGAAAAUUGUUCUUCUCAUAGAAAUGAAUAACUUUCCUUUUGGAUUUUUUCAAUCCCAUGGCAUGCGGACGCCGUCCGCUUACAUCCCUAGUCGGACAGUACUCCACAUAUAUAAAUUGCAGCAUGACAAUUCAAAGAAAAAAGAACACAAUGCCAUUUCAACGAUUAUAUCACAAAUGACAAAAAAUAUUACAAGGUUCAAUUUCCAGUAUUACAAGGCUAAAGUUCAAACUGAUAUUGCAAAUGAAAUCCAGCUUCUCCAGAACCUUUGUCAUACAGCUAUAGAUGCCCGUGCUGAUUAGCUGAACAUGAACAUAUAGAAGGUUCAAAUUGAUAUUACAAAUAGUUUCUCCAUUCCGAUAUUUCUGCAGGGGGUUCAGCCACUAACAAGACAUGUGUGGGCUUGACUGACUACAGGAAACAAGAAUUGGCCGUCAGUCACUGACGGCAAAUAACAGCUGACAGAAAAAAUAGAGGAAAACUUGACGACAAAGAAACACUAUCGGCAAACAGGUACAAAGGCUGACAGCAACGGGACACUAACGGCAAAGGCUUGUCCUUUGUCAUCAUCUUCGGGCCCACUAACGGCAAAGAGUGUAACUAGACGGAAGUGCAACGACGUGGCAUUUUGCCGUCAACCGCAACACUCACCGUCAUAUAAGAAGGGCAUAACAUGUGGAAAUCAUUGUACUAAAUUAGAAGAGCAUACCAUGCGCGUACUUGAUAACCACGUAAAGCCCCGUUUUCUCGGCGGGUGCCUCGGCCUUAGCACCUCGCAGCACCUGCAUGUGGUCUGGCCAAGAUGGUAGGGACGACUUUCCAAUCCAUGCUACCAGUCCAAGUUGUAGUUCAUGCACAAAUUACUACACAUAUCUCAUAUGCUUGUCAAAUUUGAAGAUGACCAAUACAUAAUCAAGUUGUCAUACAGCCCUUGUGUAUGCACUGAAAUACAAUAUUGCAAUCCAAAUCACAACUAUUCGGGGAUGAAUGGGAAGCAUAAACAAGGAACAAAAUUUUGCAUAAGUAAUGUCUGUGAAAAAUCGGAACUCUUCAUCCAGUGACCAACUACUUGAUGGUAAAUCUGUAAUCCAUAUUUACCGAUUUAUGCACGUACUUUCGCUGGUUAUCAUGUCUAUGCAAGCUUUAUGUUCUCCUUUGUAAUAUCUGAUUAUGCUAUGCACAGGUAAAUCAAGGAUUACUAUUCUUUGUACAUAUGUAGUGUAUUUUUCUUUCCUGUAGUAAUAGUUCAAGUAGAGACCAGAUGCAGUGACAUAGAUGGUCGGAGGUUAUUUGAGGCAGCCCAACCCCUAUCUCGCUCUUGGAGCUCCUCCCUUGUUCAAGAAGGAGCUCCUUGAUAUGUCCAUUUUGCAUCAUGAUUUUAUAUCGAUAUUUAUUGCAUUAGGGGUUGUUAUUACACAUUAUGUCACAAUACUUAUGCCUAUUCUCUCUUAUUAUACAAGGUUUACAUGAAGAGGGAGAAUAUCGGCAGCUGGAAUUCUGGGCUGGAAAAGGAGCAAAUAUUAGAGACCUAUUCUGCACAACUCCAAAAGUCCUGACACUUCACGGAGGCACGUUUUGGAAUUAAUAAAAAAUACUGGCGAAAGAAUCAACCAGAGGGGUCCUACACCCUGGCCACGAGGGUGGGGGUGCGCCCUACCCCCUUGGGCGUGCCCCCCUGCCUCGUGGGCCCCCUGGCAGGCCUCCGGUGCCCAUCUUCUGCUAUAUGAAGUCUUUCGUCUUGGAAAAAAUCAUAAGCAAGCUUUCGGGAAGAAACACCGCCGCCACGAGGCGGAACCUUGGCGGAACCAAUCUAGGGCUUCGGUGGAGCUAUUCUGUUGGGGAAACUUCCCUCCGGGAGGGGGAAAUCAUCACCAUCGUCAUCACCAACGAUCCUCUCAUCAGGAGGGGGUCAAUCUCCAUCAACAUCUUCACCAGCACCAUCUCCUCUCAAACCCUUGUUCAUCUCUUGUAUCCGAUCUUUGUCUCAAAGCCUCAGAUUGGUACCUGUAGGUUGCUAGUAGUGUUGAUUACUCCUUGUAGUUGAUGCUAGUUGGUUUAUUUGGUGGAAGAUCAUAUGUUCAGAUCCUUCAUGCAUAUUAAUACCCCUCUUAUUAUGAACAUGAAUAUGAUUUGUGAGUAGUUACGUUUGUUCCUGAGGACAUGGGAGAAGUCUUGCUAUAAGUAGUCAUGUGAAUUUGGUAUUUGUUCCAUAUUUUGAUGAGAUGUAUGUACGUUGUCUUUCCUCUAGUGGUGUUAUGUGAAGGUCGACUACAUGACACUUCGCCAUUAUUUGGGCCUAGAGGAAGGCAUUGGGAAGUAAUAAGUAGAUGAUGGGUUGCUAGAGUGACAGAAGCUUAAACCCUAGUUUAUGCGUUGCUUCGUGAGGGGCUGAUUUGGAUCCAUAUGUUUCAUGCUAUGGUUAGGUUUACCUUAAUACUUCUUUUGUAGUUGCGGAUGCUUGCAAUAGGGGUUAAUCAUAAGUGGGAUGCUUGUCCAAGGAAGGGCAGUACCCAAGCACUGGUCCACCCACAUAUCAAAUUAUCAAAGUAACGAACGCAAAUCAUAUGAGCGUGAUGAAAACUAGCUUGACGAUAAUUCCCGUGUGUCCUCGGGAGCGUUUUCCUUCAUAUAAGAGUUUGUCCAGGCUUGUCCUUUGCUACAAAAAGGAUUGGGCCAUCUUGCUGCACCUUAUUUACUUUUGUUACUUGUUACCCGUUACAAAUUACCUUAUCGCAAAACUAUCUGUUACCGAUAAUUUCAGUGCUUGCACAAAAUACCUUACUGAAAACCGCUUGUCAUUUCCUUCUGCUCCUCGUUGGGUUCGACACUCUUACUUAUUGAAAGGACUAUGAUAGAUCCCCUACACUUGUGGGUCAUCAAGACUCUUUUCUGGCACCGUUGCCGGGGAGUGAAGCGCCUUUGGUAAGUGGAAUUUGGUAAGGAAAAAUUUAUAUAGUGUGCUGAAAUUUACUGUCACUUGUUACUAUGGAACAUAAUCCUUUGAGGGGCUUCUUCGGGGUAUCUUCACCCCGACCAGUAGAGAAAAGAGUUGCUCCUCAACCUACCGAACCUACUGAAAAUGUUUACUUUGAUAUUCCUUCGGGUAUGAUAGAGAAACUGCUAGCUAAUCCUUUCACGGGUGAUGGAACAUUACAUCCCGAUUUGCACCUAAUCUAUGUGGAUCAAGUUUGUGGAUUAUUUAAGCUUGCAGGUAUACCCGAGGAUGUUAUCAAGAAGAAGGUCUUCCCUUUAUCUUUGAAGGGAAAGGCAUUGACAUGGUUUACGCUAUGUGAUGAUAUGGGACCAUGGAACUACAACCGAUUGAAAUUGGAAUUUCAUCAGAAGUUUUAUCCUAUGCAUCUUGUUCAUCGUGAUCGUAAUUAUAUAUAUAAUUUUUGGCCUUGCGAAGGAUAAAGCAUCGCUCAAUCUUGGGGGAGGCUUAAGUCAAUGCUAUAUUCAUGCCCCAAUCAUGAUCUCUCAAGAGAAAUUAUUAUUCAAAAAAUUUAUGCUCGGCUUUCUCCCAACAAUCGCUCCAUGCUCGAUACUUCUUGUACUGGCUCUUUUAUGAUGAAGACUAUUGAAUUCAAAUGGGAUUUAUUGGAAAGAAUUAAAUGCAACUCUGAGGAUUGGGAUCUCGACGAAGGUAAGGAGUCAGGUAUAACACCUAAGUUUGAUUGUGUUAAAUCUUUUAUGGACACCGAUGUUUUCCAUGAAUUUAGCACUAAAUAUGGACUUGACUCUGAGAUAGUAGCUUCUUUCUGUGAAUCCUUUGCUACUCAUGUUGACUCUGAGAAGUGGUUUAAAUAUAAUCCUCCCAUUGAAGUAAAAGUAGUUGCACCUAUUAAAGUUGAAGAAAAGACUAUCACUUAUAAUGUUGAUCCUGUUGUUCCUACUGCUUAUAUUGAGAAACCACCUUUCCCUGUUUGAAAAAAGGAUCAUGCUAAAGCUUCAACUGUGGUUCGUAAGAGUAAUACUAGAACACCUACAUCCCCUGAGCAAAUUAAAGUUGAACCUAUAUUGCUAUGGUUAAAGAUCUCUUGGCGGAUAAUAUCGAUGGGCAUGUUAUUUACUUCUGUUAAUGCUAGGAUAGGCUGCAAAAAGGAUGUUGUUACUAUUGGUUUGGGGGAUACGUCUCAUGAGUUUAAUUUUGCUCAGUUUCGUAGACAACCCCAUGAUAAAGAAUUGCCUAGUAAAGAUGAAAUUAUUGGUCUUGCUUCUAUUGCCGUGCCUCCUAAUGAUCCUUUAGAACAAUAUUUGCUCGACCAUGAAAAUGAUAUGUUUAUGAAUGAAAGAAGGGAAAUAGAUGAAGUAUUAUUUAAACAGGGACCUAUCUUGAAACACAACUUGCCUGUUGAAAUCCUAGGGGAUCCUUCUCCACCCAAGGAUGAUCCCGUGUUUGAGCUUAAACCAUUACCUGAUACUCUUAAUAUGCAUAUCUUGAUGAGAAAAAGAUAUAUCCUGUUAUUAUUAGUGCUAACCUUUCAAAGCAUGAAGAAAAGAAAUUAUUGAAAACUCUGAAGAAGCACCGUGCUGCUAUUGGAUAUACUCUUGAUGAUCUUAAGGGCAUUAAUCCCACUCUAUGCCAACACAAAAUUAAAUUGGAGAAAGACGCUAAACCGGUAGUUGAUCACCAAUGACGGUUAAAUCCUAAGAUGAAAGAAGUGGUAAGAAAAGAAAUACUAAAGCUUCUGGAGGCAGGUAUAAUUUAUCCCGUUGCUGAUAGUGAGUGGGUAAGUCCUGUCCAUUGUGUCCCUAAGAAGGGAGGUAUUACUGUUGUUCCUAAUGAUAAAGAUGAAUUGAUCCCACAAAGAAUUAUCACAGGUUAUAGAAUGGUAAUUGAUUUCCGCAAACUAAAUAAAGCUACUAAAAAGGAUCAUUACCCUUUACCUUUUAUUGAUCAAAUGCUAGAAAGAUUAUCCAAACAUACACAUUUUUGCUUUCUAGAUGCUUAUUCUGGUUUUUCUCAAAUACCUGUGUCAAAGGAGGAUCAAGAAAAGACCACUUUUACUUGCCCUUCCGGUACCUUUUCUUAUAGACGUAUGCCUUCUGGUUUAUGUAAUGCACCUGCUAACUUUCAAAGAUGUAUGAUGGCUAUAUUCUCUGACUUCUGUGAAAAGAUUGUUGAGGUUUUCAUGGAUGAUUUCUCCGUGUAUGGAACUUCUUUUGAUGAUUGCUUAAGCAACCUUGAGCGAGUUUUGCAGAGAUGUGAAGAAACUAAUAUUGUUUUGAAUUGGGAGAAGUGCCACUUUAUGGUUAAUGAAGGUAUUGUCUUGGGGCAUAAAAUUUCUGAAAGAGGUAUUGAAGUUGAUAAAGCUAAAGUUGAUGCUAUUGAAAAGAUGUCGUGUCCUAAGGACAUUAAAGGUAUAAGAAGUUUUCUUGGUCAUGCCGGUUUUUAUAGGAGGUUCAUUAAGGACUUCUCUAAAAUUUCUAGGCCUCUGACUAAUCUCUUACAAAAAUAUAUUCCUUUUGUCUUUGAUGAUGAUUGUGUAGAAGCAUUUGAAAUACUUAAGAAAGCCUUGAUUUCUGCACCUAUUGUUCAGCCACCUGAUUGGAAUUUACCCUUUGAAAUUAUGUGUGAUGCUAGUGACUAUGCUGUAGGUGCUGUUCUAGGACAAAGAGUUGAUAAGAAAUUAAAUGUUAUCCAAUAUGCUAGUAAAACUCAUAGUGCCCAGAGGAUUAUGCUACUACUGAAAAAGAAUUUUUAGCAGUUGUAUUUGCUUGUGAUAAGUUCAGACCUUAUAUUGUUGAUUCUAAAGUAACUGUUCACACUGAUCAUGCUGCUAUUAAAUAUCUUAUGGAAAAGAAAGAUGCUAAACCUAGACUUAUUAGAUGGGUUCUCUUACUACAAGAAUUUGAUUUGUAUAUUAUUGAUAGAAAGGGAGCUGAGAACCCCAUUGCAGACAAUUUGUCAAGGUUAGAGAAUGUUCUUGAUGACCCACUACCUAUUGAUGAUAGCUUUCCCGAUGAACAAUUAGCUGUCAUAAAUGCUUCUCGUACUGCUCCAUGGUAUGCUGAUUAUGCUAAUUACAGUGUUGCUAAAUUUAUACCACCUAGUUUCACAUAGCAGCAAAAGAAAAAGGUUUUCUAUGAUUUAAGACAUUACUUCUAGGAUGACCCACACCUUUAUAAGGAAGGAGUAGAUGGUGUUAUUAGACGCUGUGUACCUGAGCAUGAACAGGAAUAGAUCCUACGCAAGUGUCACUCCAAGGCUUAUGGAGGACACCACGCUGGAGAUAGAACUGCGUAUAAGGUAUUGCAAUCUGGUUUUUAUUGGCCUACUCUCUUCAAGGAUGCCCGUAAGUUUGUCUUGUCUUGCGAUGAAUGUCAAAGAAUUGGUAAUAUUAGUAGACGUCAAGAAAUGCCUAUGAAUUAUUCACUUGUUAUUGAACCAUUUGAUGUUUGGGGCUUUGACUAUAUGGGACCGUUUCCUUCCUCUAAUGGGUAUACACAUAUUUUAGUUGCUGUUGAUUACAUUACUAAGUGGGUAGAAGCUAUUCCAACUAGUAGUGCUGAUCAUAACACCUCUAUUAAGAUGCUUAAAGAAGUUAUUUUUCUGAGGUUUGGAGUCCCUAGAUAUUUAAUGACUGAUGGUGGUUCACAUUUUAUUCAUGGUGCUUUUCGUAAAAUGCUUGCUAAGUAUGACGUUAAUCAUAGAAUUGCAUCUCCAUACCACCCACAGUCUAGUGGUCAAGUAGAACUGAGUAAUAGAGAGCUUAAAUUAAUUUUGCAAAAGACUGUUAAUAGAUCUAGAAAGAAUUGGUCCAAGAAACUUGAUGAUGCUUUAUGGGCCUAUAGAACUGCAUACAAAAAUCCUAUGGGUAUGUCUCCUUAUAAAAUGGUUUAUGGAAAAGCUUGUCACUUACCUCCCGAACUAGAACAUAAAGCAUAUUGGGCCAUUAAAGAGCUCAAUUAUGAUUUCAAACUUGUUGGUGAGAAAAGGCUAUUUGACAUUAGCUCACUUGAUGAAUGGAGAACUCAAGCCUAUGAGAAUGCCAAACUGUUUAAAGAAAAAGUUAAAAGAUGGCAUGACAAAAGGAUACAAAAGCGUGAGUUUAACGUAGGUGAUUAUGUGUUGCUAUUCAGCUCUCGUUUAAGAUUUUUUGCAGGAAAACUUCUCUCUAAAUGGGAAGGGCCUUACGUUAUUGAGGAGGUCUAUCGUUCCAGUGCCAUAAAAAUCAACAACUUCGAAGGCACAAAUCCGAAGGUGGUGAACGGUCAAAGAAUCAAACAUUAUAUCUCAGGUAACCCAAUAAUGUUGAAACUAAUGUUAUUGAAACUUUAACCCCGGAGGAAUAUAUAAGGGACACUUUCCAGAAUGGUUCAGACUCUGAAAAGGAAUAGGUAUGUGGUACAGUAAGUAAACCGACUCCAAAACAGUGCUAAUAGAAAUUUUUCUCCGUUUUGGAAUAUUUAAGAAAAUAGGAAAAUAAGAAGUAGUCCGAGAAGGACACGAGGCGUCCAUGAGGGAGGAGGGCGCACCCUACCCCCCUGGGCACGCCCCCUACCUUGUGGGCACCUCGUGUGCUCUCCGGACUCCGUUUUCUUGCACGAUACUUCUUUUGGUCGGUAAAAAUUCAUUAUAUAAUCUCCCGAAGGUUUUGACCACCGUAUCACGCAAAUAUCCUCUGUUUUUUUUGAGCUGUUUUCUGCCGGAGUUGUCAAGGCCAGGUAUCAUGUCGUCCCCCUUCUCCAACAAUGAGGGCAGCGAUGCUUGGCCAAUGAAGAUAGAGCUAAAGAGAGAAGAACCCGGGGAGAUCAAGAAGGAUGAUGGGAUCAAGAAGGCCAUGGAGGAUCGAGUUCCGGCAGCAGAAGACGAAGACAUCCUUCAACCUCAUCACAAUCUUCUUACCCCAACGGAGAUUGAAGCUUUCAAGAUGAUUGAAUUAGCUCACAUACAAAACAAGUAUCUCACACGUGAAAAUGUCUUGUUGAAGGAGCAUAUCACCGCACUCAAGGGCAUUAUCCGCAAAUUGGAGGAUCUCCUACGCUCGAUGUGUGACUAUCCAUCAUCACCACCAUCUUCUUCACCGGCAAAAGAGAACUUAGUAUCUGGUAUGGGCACUCCCCUUGGCAACUGCCAAGCUUGGGGGAGGUGCCCCGGUAUCGUAUCACCAUCACACUCCUAUCUUUACCGUUUUUCUUAGUUCGAUCCUUUUAGUAAUAUCUUGAUCUAGUAGAAUAAAGUUUUAGUAUGAUCUAGUUUUGAUUUUUGCUUUAUGAUCCUACUAUGUAAUCGAGUCCGUGAGCUAUAUAAUAAAGAUUAGUUUUGACUCAAGGGCUUGAAUAUCUUACUAUGAUCUUCAGGAGAUAAAGGAAAGAAUAAAAUGAAUAAAGAGAUCAUAUUGAUCUUAUGGAGAGUAAUGACUUCACAUAUAAAAGAGUAUGAUGAAUAAAAGUUGUUGAGGGUUCAAAAACAUAGUUUUGGUCAUCGUUGCAAUUAAUAGGAAGUAAUAAAGAAAGAGAGGUUUUCCCAUAUAAAUACACUAUCUUGGACAUCUUUUAUGAUUGUGAGCACUCAUUAAAAUAUGACAUGCUAAAGAGUUGAUGUUGGACAAGGAAGACAACAUAAUGGGUUAUGUUUUCUUAUAUCCGAAAUAAAGUAUAUUGUCAUGGAUCAUCCAACAUGUUGAGCUUGCCUUUCCCCCUUAUGCUAGCCAAAGUCUUUGCACCAAGUAGAGAUACUACUUGUUCUUCCAAAUACCCUUAAACCCAGUUUUGCCAUGAGUGUCCACCAUACCUACCUAUGGAUUGAGUAAGAUCCUUCAAGUAAGUUGUCAUUGUUGCAUCAAUAAAAAUUGCUCUCUAAAUAUGCAUGAUUUAUUAGUGUGGAGAAAAUAAGCUUUAUAUGAUAUUGUGAUGUGGAAGCAAUAAAAGCGAUGGACUGCAUAAUAAAGGUCCAUAUCACAAGUGGCAAUAUAAGGUGGCGUUCUUUUGCAUUAAGAUUUUGUGCAUCCAACCUUAAAAGCACAUGACAACCUCUGCCUCCCUCUGCGAAGGGCCUAUCUUUUAUUCUUGCCUUAUACAUUAUACAAGAGUCAAGGUGAUCUUCACCUUUCCUUUUUUAUAUUUUAUCCUUUGGCAAGCACAUCGUGUUGGAAAGAUCCUGAUAUAUAUAUCCAAUUGGAUGUAAGUUAGCAUGAACUAUUAUUGUUGACAUUACCCUUGAGGUAAAAGGUUGGGAGGCAACGCUAUAAGCCCCUAUCUUUCUCUGUGUCCGAUUAAAACUCCAUAACCAUAAGUAUUGCGUGAGUGUUAGAAAUUGUGAAAGACUAAAUGAUAGUUGAGUAUGUGGACUUGCUGAAAAGCUCUGAUAUUGGCUCUUUCCGAUGUUAUGAUAAAUUGCAAUUGCUUCAAUGACUGAGAUUAUAGUUUGUUGGUUCUCAACGAAGUUUCUGAUUCAUACUUGACAUUGUGAAUAGAUUAUUACUUGAGCAUAAGAAAUCAUAUGACAAUACUUGUAUAUGUUGCUGUUAUAAGAAUGAUCAUGAUGCCCUCAUGUCCGUAUUUUAUUUUAUAGACACCUCUAUCUCUAAACAUGUGGACAUAUUUUUCGUUAUCGGCUUCCGCUUGAGGACAAGCAAGGUCUAAGCUUGGGGGAGUUGAUACGUCCAUUUUGCAUCAUGCUUUUAUAUCAAUAUUUAUUGCAUUAGGGGCUGUUAUUACACAUUAUGUCGCAAUACUUAUGCCUAUUCUCUCUUAUUUUACAAGGUUUACAUGAAGAGGGAGAAUGUUGGCAGCUGGAAUUCUGGGCUGGAAAAGGACCAAAUAUUAGAGACCUAUUCUGCACAACUCCAAAAGUCCUGACACUUCACGGAGGCACGUUUUGGAAUUAAUAAAAAAUACUGGCGAAAGAAUCAACCAGAGGGGGCCCACACCCUGGCCACGAGGGUGGGGGCGCGUCCUACCCCCCUGGGCGCGCCCCCCUGCCUCGUGGGCCCCUUGGCAGGCCUCCGGUGCCCAUCUUCUGCUAUAUGAAGUCUUUCAUCCUGGAAAAAAUCAUAAGCAAGCUUUUGGGAAGAAACACCGCCGCCACAAGGCGGAACCUUGGCGGAACCAAUCUAGGGCUCCGGCGGAGAUGUUCUGCCGGGGAAACUUCCCUCUGGGAGGGGGAAAUCAUCACCAUCGUCAUCACCAACGAUCCUCUCAUCAGGAGGGGGUCAAUCUCCAUCAACAUCUUCACCAGCACCAUCUCCUCUCAAACCCUUNNNNNNNNNNNNNNNNNNNNNNNNNNNNNNNNNNNNNNNNNNNNNNNNNNNNNNNNNNNNNNNNNNNNNNNNNNNNNNNNNNNNNNNNNNNNNNNNNNNNGUUAUAGCAAUGGGGCAAGGUAAAGACCCUUCCUUUCUUGAUCUUCCCCUUCUUGGUUGUCCUCUCCUCUUCUUUGAACAAGUUUUGCGCAAUGUUGUACUACAUGAAAACAAAGCAAGUUAGCACCAACAACAAGUAUGAUGAACAUGUAUGAAAUGCCACUUACUAUCGUCCUCAUUUGUGCCACUUGGGUUCAACUUGUCAACCACCUUUUGACAGGCCGCCCACCUUUGACAAUCCGAGUUGAUUGUCGACCAUUGGGACCGAAGUGAUCUCUCGGAGCGGUGAAUUGCACUCAAGUUGUGAACAUCAAAGUGUUCUUUCAUCCGCCCCCAAUAAGCAUCUCUACUUUGAUCACCUCCAACGGAUGGAUCCCUCGACACUUGCAACCAAGUAUUGCAUAGUAAGAUGUCAUCGACGUUGCUGUAAUUGCCCGCUCUUCCUUUUGGUGCGUCGACAAUGCCCUCACCCUCCUCGUCCACCUCGAACUCAUGGUCUCGAAAUGCAUGUCAUUGGUUUGAGACCAAUGCGAAUUGUUGGAGCCAACACCCAUCGUUGACAUGUAUGCAUCAUCAUUGAGACUACAAAGUUUUCUGAACAAUGCAAAUAAGCUAUCUAUAUGUAAAUGCAUUGAAAAAAAUAAGAAAAAAAUGAAAAGUUGGAAUUUUUUUUACCUUGGGGGCAUUUCGUCGAACAUGUUGUGCGCGUUGGCCGCCGGCGCUUCGGUAGCCGCCGCGCCCGUCGCACGCCCUGCAAGCUUCUUCCUCCUCGCCUUCGAGGUGCCGGAGCCGUCCGCCGCCUUGUUUUUCUUCGCCGAUGUCUUGCCCUUCUUUGGCCGCGCCACAUUGGGGAGCUUUGAGGAGGGGGCGGCGGCUCGGGCCGGCACCGGUGCGACGCCAGCCGCCGCCGAGGUCAUCCGCGGCGGCAUGUAGAGGCCGCGCGCGAGGCCGAUGGUCGGAGGAGCUCCGGCGGAGGCGAGGCCAACGCCACCCGGGCUAGGGUUUGCGGCGGCGGCGGCGGUGGAGGGGUCGCGGCUAUAGGAUGGGGUGAGCGGGGUGCCGGCGCGUGCGUCCAUGGGGUGCAGUUCGCCGGCGCGCGCAGGGCGUAGGAGGCGGAGAAGAGAGAGUGCAGCGCGAGCGCUCGAGUGUGUCGCGUGCGGAAGCGAGCGCCCCAAAUACACCGCGCGAGAUAGCGAAUCCGACCGCGCGCCAAACUCCUUAUACCGCGCGCGCGGUUAUUGCGCGCCCGCUGGAGCCACCCGCCGGGUUGCGCGUGCGCUAAACUGGCUAAAUUUGCGGCCCGGCGCUUGUUUAGCGUGCCUGUUGGAGAUGCUCUUAGCCCCAUGAGACCAGCGCACUAGAACAACAACUGCCACCGAUGAAAAGAUGCGUAGAUCGUAAGAAUCUAACCUGAAGACACACGAACAAAGACCGGAUCCGAUUAGAUCCAUCAAAGACAACCACCGACCGAAUUCUACAAGACCAGCUAGAGACACGCCUCCACACGCCCUCCAAUGAUGCUAGACACACCACCAGAAUGGGGGCUAGGCGGGGAGAAUCCUAUUCCAUCUUCGGGGAGCCGCCUUUGUCUCGUCUUUCUCAGCAGGACACAAACCCUAACAAAACCAAUAGAAACAUCUAAAAAGGAAUCCCUCCCGCCGGCAAGGCCCAGGAUCCACCGCGUCUCCAUGGCCCUUGGGCCACCAGAGACGAGGCAAACUAGCGGCGGCGCUUGCAGGAGACAGAGGAACCCUAGCGUUUUUGGAGGAGGCGGUGGUAGCUAUGUGUGCAUUGGGAUCUCCUAUUCCACAUUCAAACUGUGGAAUUGCUGCUAUACCACUCACAUAGGCCGUUCGCUGAAGCUCUGGCUCGCUCAACUUGGCUCCCUUUUCCACUUGCUUAUUUAGUUUUUUUNNNNNNNNNNNNNNNNNNNNNNNNNNNNNNNNNNNNNNNNNNNNNNNNNNNNNNNNNNNNNNNNNNNNNNNNNNNNNNNNNNNNNNNNNNNNNNNNNNNNNNNNNNNNNNNNNNNNNNNNNNNNNNNNNNNNNNNNNNNNNNNNNNNNNNNNNNNNNNNNNNNNNNNNNNNNNNNNNNNNNNNNNNNNNNNNNNNNNNNNNNNNNNNNNNNNNNNNNNNNNNNNNNNNNNNNNNNNNNNNNNNNNNNNNNNNNNNNNNNNNNNNNNNNNNNNNNNNNNNNNNNNNNNNNNNNNNNNNNNNNNNNNNNNNNNNNNNNNNNNNNNNNNNNNNNNNNNNNNNNNNNNNNNNNNNNNNNNNNNNNNNNNNNNNNNNNNNNNNNNNNNNNNNNNNNNNNNNNNNNNNNNNNNNNNNNNNNNNNNNNNNNNNNNNNNNNNNNNNNNNNNNNNNNNNNNNNNNNNNNNNNNNNNNNNNNNNNNNNNNNNNNNNNNNNNNNNNNNNNNNNNNNNNNNNNNNNNNNNNNNNNNNNNNNNNNNNNNNNNNNNNNNNNNNNNNNNNNNNNNNNNNNNNNNNNNNNNNNNNNNNNNNNNNNNNNNNNNNNNNNNNNNNNNNNNNNNNNNNNNNNNNNNNNNNNNNNNNNNNNNNNNNNNNNNNNNNNNNNNNNNNNNNNNNNNNNNNNNNNNNNNNNNNNNNNNNNNNNNNNNNNNNNNNNNNNNNNNNNNNNNNNNNNNNNNNNNNNNNNNNNNNNNNNNNNNNNNNNNNNNNNNNNNNNNNNNNNNNNNNNNNNNNNNNNNNNNNNNNNNNNNNNNNNNNNNNNNNNNNNNNNNNNNNNNNNNNNNNNNNNNNNNNNNNNNNNNNNNNNNNNNNNNNNNNNNNNNNNNNNNNNNNNNNNNNNNNNNNNNNNNNNNNNNNNNNNNNNNNNNNNNNNNNNNNNNNNNNNNNNNNNNNNNNNNNNNNNNNNNNNNNNNNNNNNNNNNNNNNNNNNNNNNNNNNNNNNNNNNNNNNNNNNNNNNNNNNNNNNNNNNNNNNNNNNNNNNNNNNNNNNNNNNNNNNNNNNNNNNNNNNNNNNNNNNNNNNNNNNNNNNNNNNNNNNNNNNNNNNNNNNNNNNNNNNNNNNNNNNNNNNNNNNNNNNNNNNNNNNNNNNNNNNNNNNNNNNNNNNNNNNNNNNNNNNNNNNNNNNNNNNNNNNNNNNNNNNNNNNNNNNNNNNNNNNNNNNNNNNNNNNNNNNNNNNNNNNNNNNNNNNNNNNNNNNNNNNNNNNNNNNNNNNNNNNNNNNNNNNNNGAACUUCAAAUAAUCAUGACGAUAUCCAGGCAGUGAUCAUUAUAUAGGCAUCACGUCCAAGAUUAGUAGACCGACUCCUGCCUGCAUCUACUACUAUUACUCCACACAUCGCCCGCUAUCCAGCAUGCAUCUAGUGUAUUAAGUUCAUGCAAAACGGAGUAAUGCAAUAAGAACGAUGACAUGAUGUAGACAAGAUCUAUCAAUGUAGACAUAGACCCCAUCGUUUUAUCCUUAGUAGCAACGACACAUACGUGCUGGUUCCCCUUCUGUCACUGGGAUCAAGCACCGUAAGAUCGAACCCACUACAAAGCACCUCUUCCCAUUGCAAGAUAAAUAGAUCAAGUUAGCCAACAAAACCCAAAUAUUGGAGAAGAAAUACGAGGCUAUAAGCAAUCAUGCAUAAAAGAGAUCAAAGAAACUCAAAUACUUUCAUGGAUAUAAAAAGAUAUAACUGAUCAUAAACUCAAAGUUCAUCAGAUCCCAACAAACACACCGCAAAAGAGUUACAUCAUAUGGAUCUCCAAGAGACCAUUGUAUUGAGAAUUCAGCGAGAGAGAGGAAGCCAUCUAGCUACUAACUACGGACCCGAAGGUCUACAAAGAACUACUCACGCAUCAUCGGAGAGGCACCAAUGGAGGUGGUGAACCCCAUCCGAGAUGGUGUCUAGAUUGGAUCUAGUGGUUCUGGACUCUGCGGCGGCUGGAUCAAUAUUUCGUCGACUCCCCUAGGGUUUAUUGAAUAUUGGGGUAUUUAUAGAUCAAAGAGGCGGUCCGGGGGGCACCCGAGGUGGGCACAACCCACCAGGGAGCGCCUGGGCCUCCUGGCACGCCCUGGUAGGUUGUGCUCUCCUCGGAACACCCCCCAGGCACAGCCAGGGUCCAUUACAUGUCUUCUGGUCCAUAAAAAAUCUUCGUAAAGUUUUGUGGCAUUUGGACUCCGUCUGAUAUUGAUUUCCUGGGAUGUAAAAAACAUGCAGAGAACAGCAACUGGCACUUGGCACUAUGUCAAUAGGUUAGUACCAAAAAAUGAUAUAAAAUGAUUAUAAAACAUCCAUGAUUGAUAAUAUAACAGCAUGGAACAAUCAAAAAUUAUAGAUAUGUUGGAGACGUAUCAAUAUGUAGGACUGAAAGAAUCAAUGCGCCUAGAUAACAUCAACGUGGAACAUAAGCAAUGAACAUGCCAACAAUUAUACAUAAAUGCAUAUAGAUGGGUGGUAACAACAACAACGAAGAUAUUGAUUAACAGAUAAAACUAAAAUGCAUACUUCCACCCUAUACUGGUAUAGAUCCACCUCUAACAUUCUCCUGUAUGUAAAGUGUGGACAAUAAAAGAACCAGAAGCCUGAUGAUAAGACAAGGCGGCAGGAAAAUAAAUAAUGGAACAUGUACCUGAAGGUUAGAGCCAGAUGGUGCUGGAGCAGAUUGGGGAUCUUCCUGCUCUUCCCGCUAGAUAGUCUGGUGGUUGGGUGCUGGUAUGACGAGGUAUUUAUAGCUGGUAAAAGGUAAGUGUGGACAAUGGACAACCUAUCUCCACCGCCUUCACACACGCAGAAAAUCUGCGCUGAUCUUCGCCCAAUUAUACUUGGGGAAAUCAAUAUUAGUCGCGAAUAUUUGGUUAUUAGUGAGUCAUAUCCCCACAUAAUAUUCUCGACUGAUGUUUAUAUGCAACUUAAUGCUUCAUAUCUAAGGUCAUGUAUUAAACUAUAUCUCCUCUAGUUAUUAGAAGUUGUAUGGGUUAUUGUUCCAAAUUUUGAAUGUUGGCCAAUAUACCACUACUAGGAAAUACCUUAUAGGUAGAUAAUUAGCAGUAGAGUUGGGUAAGUGACCCACGCUGUUGUUAAGUAGUAGCGCGGGUCAAAACACCACGCUACAGGUCUAGUAGUAGACCGGGUGUAUACACCCAACGCUGCUGCUAAGUGGGCCCCACAGACCACAGUACCCCCGGGUCGAGCCAUAGUGGUAGCACUGGGUAUAAGACCCACGCUACAACUAACAUGGUAGCUAUAGCGCGGGGCUUAUACCAAGCACUGCCACUACUAGUACACAGGGCUAGCUGGUGGGCCCCAUUUAGCAGCAGCGUUGGUGCAUGAUAGAGCGCUACACGUAAUGGGCAUAGCAAUAGCGCGGGUCUUCUUCCCCAAGCUACUGUUGUGGCAACCUUAUCCCUCCUCCAACGACGACCCUCUCACUCACUCAUGCUUCUUUCUCUUCCCGUUGUCGUCGCCGCCCUUCUCCUUCCUCGGUAAGCAGCCUCCCUCCUCCACCUGUCGCCCUCGUCCCUCCUCCAUAAACUUGUUCUCCUCCCUCCUCCUCCUCUCUUCUCCCUCCUCGGGCCGCCAUCCUCCCUCCUCCUCCUCUAUCCCCUCCCUCCUUCCUCCUCCUUCAUCCCACCUCCCUCCUCCAUCCUCCCCCCUCCUUCGGCUGCCAUCCUCCUCCUCCUCUCUCCUCCCUCCUCCCUCCUCCUCUCUCCUUUAUGUUUUCAGUAAAAAAAUAGUAAAAUAUAGAAAUUUUAGUAAUAUAAUAGAAAAUUUUAGGUAUCAAAUAGGUUUUUCGAAUAUAGAAAUAUCUUAGGUAAAGAAACAGUAAAAUAUAAAAACUAGUAAUGGAAUACAAUAUAAAGACUAGUAAUAUAACAGAAAAUUUUCAGUAAAAAAUAGUAAUAGAAUAGAAAAUUUAAGGUAUCAAAUAGGUUUUUUGAAUGUAGAAAUUUUUUAGGUGUCGGAUAGAAUAUAAAAAUAUAAAAAUGUUGUUGACAAUUAUAUUGUGAAUUAUUUUUAUGUCAUUAUCACGUUUUCAUCGAAUAAUGUUAUAUGAGAUUUGAUGAUGUAAAUUUUCACUCAGUGGAAUACGCACGCUUUCUUGUGUCGCGUCCCCCUCUCCCGUUCGCUCCCGCCCCGUCCCCAUGAGCACCUCCUCUCCUCUCUCUUCAGUUUUAGGUUUAGUUCUUUUUUAAUAUAUAUGUAAAUGGAUGUAUGUUCAUUAGAUGGAUGGAUGCAUUUUGUAGGGAACAAAUCCGAGUGCCUAUGUUUUACUGAAAUGUUGAUUCAUUUCCAUUCCCGCAAAUUUUAGGCACUCGAUAUGUCCGCUCUUAGCAAAGGUCAUGCGAAAUUUUCCUUGAAUUCCUCUUCUUCUUUUCGGUUUUGUCUUUCUUGCACCCAUCCGGUCGCUUUGGCUUCGAGUAUGAAACCGAGUUGGGUGGGGGGCUUCUCUUGCCGUCAUCACUUGAUGCAUCAUCCUCGUCAUCAUCAUCAUCCAACUUAAUUGUUCGCUUGCGUUUGUUGCUCAAAUGCAAAUCAUCCAAAUCUUCACGCUUCUUCCAUUUCUCAUCAUCCUUCAACACGUUAUAGCAAUGGGGCAAGGUAAAGACCCUUCCUUUCUUGAUCUUCCCCUUCUUGGUUGUCCUCUCCUCUUCUUUGAACAAGUUUUGCGCAAUGUUGUACUACAUGAAAACAAAGCAAGUUAGCACCAACAACAAGUAUGAUGAACAUGUAUGAAAUGCCACUUACUAUCGUCCUCAUUUGUGCCACUUGGGUUCAACUUGUCAACCACCUUUUGACAGGCCGCCCACCUUUGACAAUCCGAGUUGAUUGUCGACCAUUGGGACCGAAGUGAUCUCUCGGAGCGGUGAAUUGCACUCAAGUUGUGAACAUCAAAGUGUUCUUUCAUCCGCCCCCAAUAAGCAUCUCUACUUUGAUCACCUCCAACGGAUGGAUCCCUCGACACUUGCAACCAAGUAUUGCAUAGUAAGAUGUCAUCGACGUUGCUGUAAUUGCCCGCUCUUCCUUUUGGUGCGUCGACAAUGCCCUCACCCUCCUCGUCCACCUCGAACUCAUGGUCUCGAAAUGCAUGUCAUUGGUUUGAGACCAAUGCGAAUUGUUGGAGCCAACACCCAUCGUUGACAUGUAUGCAUCAUCAUUGAGACUACAAAGUUUUCUGAACAAUGCAAAUAAGCUAUCUAUAUGUAAAUGCAUUGAAAAAAAUAAGAAAAAAAUGAAAAGUUGGAAUUUUUUUUACCUUGGGGGCAUUUCGUCGAACAUGUUGUGCGCGUUGGCCGCCGGCGCUUCGGUAGCCGCCGCGCCCGUCGCACGCCCUGCAAGCUUCUUCCUCCUCGCCUUCGAGGUGCCGGAGCCGUCCGCCGCCUUGUUUUUCUUCGCCGAUGUCUUGCCCUUCUUUGGCCGCGCCACAUUGGGGAGCUUUGAGGAGGGGGCGGCGGCUCGGGCCGGCACCGGUGCGACGCCAGCCGCCGCCGAGGUCAUCCGCGGCGGCAUGUAGAGGCCGCGCGCGAGGCCGAUGGUCGGAGGAGCUCCGGCGGAGGCGAGGCCAACGCCACCCGGGCUAGGGUUUGCGGCGGCGGCGGCGGUGGAGGGGUCGCGGCUAUAGGAUGGGGUGAGCGGGGUGCCGGCGCGUGCGUCCAUGGGGUGCAGUUCGCCGGCGCGCGCAGGGCGUAGGAGGCGGAGAAGAGAGAGUGCAGCGCGAGCGCUCGAGUGUGUCGCGUGCGGAAGCGAGCGCCCCAAAUACACCGCGCGAGAUAGCGAAUCCGACCGCGCGCCAAACUCCUUAUACCGCGCGCGCGGUUAUUGCGCGCCCGCCGGAGCCACCCGCCGGGUUGCGCGUGCGCUAAACUGGCUAAAUUUGCGGCCCGGCGCUUGUUUAGCGCGCCUGUUGGAGAUGCUCUUAGCCCCAUGAGACCAGCGCACUAGAACAACAACUGCCACCGAUGAAAAGAUGCGUAGAUCGUAAGAAUCUAACCUGAAGACACACGAACAAAGACCGGAUCCGAUUAGAUCCAUCAAAGACAACCACCGACCGAAUUCUACAAGACCAGCUAGAGACACGCCUCCACACGCCCUCCAAUGAUGCUAGACACACCACCAGAAUGGGGGCUAGGCGGGGAGAAUCCUAUUCCAUCUUCGGGGAGCCGCCUUUGUCUCGUCUUUCUCAGCAGGACACAAACCCUAACAAAACCAAUAGAAACAUCUAAAAAGGAAUCCCUCCCGCCGGCAAGGCCCAGGAUCCACCGCGUCUCCAUGGCCCUUGGGCCACCAGAGACGAGGCAAACUAGCGGCGGCGCUUGCAGGAGACAGAGGAACCCUAGCGUUUUUGGAGGAGGCGGUGGUAGCUAUGUGUGCAUUGGGAUCUCCUAUUCCACAUUCAAACUGUGGAAUUGCUGCUAUACCACUCACAUAGGCCGUUCGCUGAAGCUCUGGCUCGCUCAACUUGGCUCCCUUUUCCACUUGCUUAUUUAGUUUUUUUCCUCGCUCCGGUGCUAGCUCAGAAAUUACCAGCUAAUAUAUUUUUAUUUGAAAACAACCAUUAAAUCAAAUAUGCUCAUGGAUUAAAAGAUGGAUCUUUAAAAUUGUUCUGAAUUAAAAAUAAUGGAUGUUUUUUAAAAAUCUUAGUGCCUUAAAAAUAUGUCCAUGGAUUUCAAAAAAUAUUUGUGAAAAUUUAAAGGAGGUUCCUAAACUGAAAAAAUUUCACUAACUUUAAUUUUAUUAUGAACUUUUGGAAUACUCCUACAUAUGCUCCUCAGGACGGCGCCCUAGGUGUCCUUGGUGAAGGUUUGGUUUGAUUUUAGGUAACAAUUUUGGGCUUCAGCAUGCAUGUCCAUUUUCUGGGAUAGUUUUUACUGUCAUUGAAAAUCAUGGAUGGGUUAGUGAAUGGAGUAUAAAUAGAAAGAAAAAAUUGUGUCUGCAAGAUUUGAACUGACUACCUCGCUCUUAUGUAGGAGUUAGACUAAGAUGGCUUCAAAUCAAAAAGUGUUUAACAAGAAAAUUGUUCUUCUCAUAGAAAUGAAUAAUUUUCCUUUUGGAUUUUUUCAAUCCCAUGGCAUGCGGACGCCGUCCGCUUACAUCCCUAGUCGGACAGUACUCCACAUAUAUAAAUUGCAGCAUGACAAUUCAAAGAAAAAAGAACACAAUGCCAUUUCAACGAUUAUAUCACAAAUGACAAAAAUAUUACAAGGUUCAAUUUCCAGUAUUACAAGGCUAAAGUUCAAACUGAUAUUGCAAAUGAAAUCCAGCUUCGACAGAACCUUUGUCAUACAGCUAUAGACGCCCGUGCUGAUUAGCUGAACAUGAACAUAUAGAAGGCUCAAAUUGAUAUUACAAAUAGUUUCUCCAUUCCAAUAUUUAUUGACUGACUACAGGAAACAAGAAUUGGCCGUCAGUCACUGACGGCAAAUAACAGCUGACAGAAAAAAUAGAGGAAAACUUGACGACAAAGAAACACUAUCAGCAAACAGGUACAAAGGCUGACAGCAACGGGACACUAACGGCAAAGGCUUGUCCUUUGUCAUCAUCUUCGGGCCCACUAACGGCAAAGAGUGUAACUAGACGGAAGUGCAACAACGUGGCAUUUUGCCGUCAACCGCAACACUCAUCGUCAUAUAAGAAGGGCAUAACAUGUGGAAAUCAUUGUACUAAAUUAGAAGAGCAUACCAUGCGCGUACUUGAUAACCACGUAAAGCCCCGUUUUCUCGGCGGGUGCCUCGGCCUUGGCACCUCGCAGCACCUGCAUGUGGUCUGGCCAAGAUGGUAGGGACGACUUUCCAAUCCAUGCUACCAGUCCAAGUUGUAAUUCAUGCACAAAUUACUACACAUAUCUCAUAUGCUUGUCAAAUUUGAAGAUGACCAAUACAUAAUCAAGUUGUCAUACAGCCCUUGUGUAUGCACUGAAAUACAAUAUUGCAAUCCAAAUCACAACUAUUCGGGGAUGAAUGGGAAGCAUAAACAAGGAACAAAAUUUUGCAUAAGCAAUGUCUGUGAAAAAUCGGAACUCUUCAUCCAGUGACCAACUACUUGAUGGUAAAUCUGUAAUCCAUAUUUACCGAUUUAUGCAUGUACUUUCGCUGGUUAUCAUGUCUAUGCAAGCUUUGUGUUCUCCUUUGUAAUAUCUGAUUAUGCUAUGCACAGGUAAAUCAAGGAUUACUAUUCUUUGUACAUAUGUAGUGUAUUUUUCUUUCCUGUAGUAAUAGUUCAAGUAGAGACCAGAUGCAGUGACAUAGAUGGUCGGAGGUUAUUUGAGGCAGCCCAAGCCCUAUCUCGCUCUUGGAGCUCCUCCCUUGUUCAAGAAGGAGCUCCUUGAUACGUCCAUUUUGCAUCAUGAUUUUAUAUCGAUAUUUAUUGCAUUAGCGGUUGUUAUUACACAUUAUGUCACAAUACUUAUGCCUAUUCUCUCUUAUUUUACAAGGUUUACAUGAAGAGGGAGAAUGUCGGCAGCUGGAAUUCUGGGCUGGAAAAGGAGCAAAUAUUAGAGACCUAUUCUGCACAACUCCAAAAGUCUUGACACUUCACGGAGGCACGUUUUGGAAUUAAUAAAAAAUACUGGCGAAAGAAUCAACCAGAGGGGGCCUACACCCUGGCCACGAGGGUGGGGGUGCGCCCUACCCCCUGGGCGUGCCCCCUUACCUCGUGGGCCCCCUGGCAGGCCUCCGGUGCCCAUCUUCUGCUAUAUGAAGUCUUUCGUCCUGGAAAAAUCAUAAGCAAGCUUUCGGGAAGAAACACCGCCGCCACGAGGCAGAACCUUGGCGGAACCAAUCUAGGGCUUCGGUGGAGCUGUUCUGUUGGGGAAACUUCCCUCCGGGAGGGGGAAAUCAUCACCAUCGUCAUCACCAACGAUCCUCUCAUCGGGAGGGGGUCAAUCUCCAUCAACAUCUUCACCAGCACCAUCUCCUCUCAAACCCUUGUUCAUCUUUUGUAUCCGAUCUUUGUCUCAAAGCCUCAGAUUGGUACCUGUAGGUUGCUAGUAGUGUUGAUUACUCCUUGUAGUUGAUGCUAGUUGGUUUAUUUGGUGGAAGAUCAUAUGUUCAGAUCCUUCAUGCAUAUUAAUACCCCUCUUAUUAUGAACAAGAAUAUGAUUUGUGAGUAGUUACGUUUGUUCCUGAGGACAUGGGAGAAGUCUUGCUAUAAGUAGUCAUGUGAAUUUGGUAUUUGUUCAAUAUUUUGAUGAGAUGUAUGUAUGUUGUCUUUCCACUAGUGGUGUUAUGUGAAGGUCGACUACAUGACACUUCGCCAUUAUUUGGGCCUAGAGGAAGGCAUUGGGAAGUAAUAAGUAGAUGAUGGGUUGCUAGAGUGACAGAAGCUUAAACCCUAGUUUAUGCAUUGCUUCGUAAGGGGCUGAUUUGGAUCCAUAUGUUUCAUGCUAUGGUUAGGUUUACCUUAAUACUUAUUUUGUAGUUGCGGAUGCUUGCAAUAGGGGUUAAUCAUAAGUGGGAUGCUUGUCCAAGGAAGGGCAGUACCCAAGCACUGGUCCACCCACAUAUCAAAUUAUCAAAGUAACGAACGCAAAUCAUAUGAGCGUGAUGAAAACUAGCUUGACGAUAAUUCCCAUGUGUCCUCGGGAGCGUUUUCCUUCAUAUAAGAGUUUGUCCAGGCUUGUCCUUUGCUACAAAAAGGAUUGGGCCAUCUUGCUGCACUUUAUUUAUUUUUGUUACUUGUUACCCGUUACAAAUUACCUUAUCGCAAAACUAUCUGUUACCGAUAAUUUCAGUGCUUGCACAAAAUACCUUACUGAAAACCGCUUGUCAUUUCCUUCUGCUCCUCGUUGGGUUCGACACUCUUACUUAUCGAAAGGACUACGAUAGAUCCCCUACACUUCUGGAUCAUCAAGACUCUUUUCUGGCACCGUUGCCGGGGAGUGAAGCGCCUUUGGUAAGUGGAAUUUGGUAAGGAAAAAUUUAUAUAGUGUGCUGAAAUUUACUGUCACUUGUUACUAUGGAACAUAAUCCUUUGAGGGGCUUCUUCGGGGUAUCUUCACCCCGACCAGUAGAGAAAAGAGUUGCUCCUCAACCUACCGAACCUACUGAAAAUGUUUACUUUGAUAUUCCUUCGGGUAUGAUAGAGAAACUGCUAGCUAAUCCUUUCACAGGUGAUGGAACAUUACAUCCCGAUUUGCACCUAAUCUAUGUGGAUGAAGUUUGUGGAUUAUUUAAGCUUGCAGGUAUACCCGAGGAUGUUAUCAAGAAGAAGGUCUUCCCUUUAUCUUUGAAGGGAAAGGCAUUGACAUGGUUUACGCUAUGUGAUGAUAUGGGACCAUCGAACUACAACCGAUUGAAAUUGGAAUUUCAUCAGAAGUUUUAUCCUAUGCAUCUUGUUCAUCGUGAUCGUAAUUAUAUAUAUAAUUUUUGGCCUUGCGAAGGAUAAAGCAUCGCUCAAGCUUGGGGGAGGCUUAAGUCAAUGCUAUAUUCAUGCCCCAAUCAUGAUCUCUCAAGAGAAAUUAUUAUUCAAAAAAUUUAUGCUCGGCUUUCUCUCAACAAUCGCUCCAUGCUCGAUACUUCUUGUACUGGCUCUUUUAUGAUGAGACUAUUGAAUUCAAAUGGGAUUUAUUGGAAAGAAUUAAAUGCAACUCUGAGGAUUGGGAUCUCGACGAAGGUAAGGAGUCAGGUAUAACACCUAAGUUUGAUUGUGUUAAAUCUUUUAUGGACACCGAUGUUUUCCGUGAAUUUAGCACUAAAUAUGGACUUGACUCUGAGAUAGUAGCUUCUUUCUGUGAAUCCUUUGCUACUCAUGUUGACUCUGAGAAGUGGUUUAAAUAUAAUCCUCCCAUUGAAGUAAAAGUAGUUGCACCUAUUAAAGUUGAAGAAAAGACUAUCACUUAUAAUGUUGAUCCUGUUGUUCCUACUGCUUAUAUUGAGAAACCACCUUUCCCUGUUUGAAAAAAGGAUCAUGCUAAAGCUUCAACUGUGGUUCGUAAGAGUAAUACUAGAACACCUACAUCCCCUGAGCAAAUUAAAGUUGAACCUAUAUUGCUAUGGUUAAAGAUCUCUUGGCCGAUAAUAUCGAUGGGCAUGUUAUUUACUUCUGUGAUGAAGCUGCUAGAAUUGCUAGACCUGAUACUAAAAAUAAACAUAGACCUGUUGUAGGCAUGCCUGUUAUUUCUGUUAAAAUAGGAGAUCAUUAGUAUCAUGGCUUAUGUGAUAUGCAUGGGUGCUAGUGCAAGUGCAAUACCUCAUUCCUUAUACAAAGAAAUUAUGCAUGAUAUUGCGCCUGCUGAGAUAGAAGAAAUUGAUGUUACAAUUAAGCUUGCCAAUAGAGACACUAUUUCGCCAGUUGGGAUUGUUAGAGAUGUUGAAGUCUUGUGUGGGGAAGUUAAAUAUCCUGCUGAUUUUCUUGUUCUUGGUUCCCCACAAGAUAACUUUUGUCCCAUUAUAUUUGGUAGACCCUUCUUGAAUACUGUUAAUGCUAGGAUAGGCUGCAAAAAGGAUGUUGUUACUAUUGGUUUGGGGGAUACGUCUCAUGAGUUUAAUUUUGCUCAGUUUCGUAGACAACCCCAUGAUAAAGAAUUGCCUAGUAAAGAUGAAAUUAUUGGUCUUGCUUCUAUUGCCGUGCCUCCUAAUGAUCCUUUAGAACAAUAUUUUCUCGACCAUGAAAAUGAUAUGUUUAUGAAUGAAAGAAGGGAAAUAGAUGAAGUAUUAUUUAAACAGGGACCUAUCUUGAAACACAACUUGCCUGUUGAAAUCCUAGGGGAUCCUUCUCCACCCAAGGAUGAUCCCGUGUUUGAGCUUAAACCAUUACCUAAUACUCUUAAUAUGCUUAUCUUGAUGAGAAAAAGUUAUAUCCUGUUAUUAUUAGUGCUAACCUUUCAGAGCAUGAGGAAAAGAAAUUAUUGAAAACUCUGAAGAAGCACCGUGCUGCUAUUGGAUAUACUCUUGAUGAUCUUAAGGGCAUUAGUCCCACUCUAUGCCAACACAAAAUUAAAUUGGAGAAAGACGCUAAGCCGGUAGUUGAUCACCAACGACGGUUAAAUCCUAAGAUGAAAGAAGUGGUAAGAAAAGAAAUACUAAAGCUUCUGGAGGCAGGUAUAAUUUAUCCCGUUGCUGAUAGUGAGUGGGUAAGUCCUGUCCAUUGUGUCCCUAAGAAGGGAGGUAUUACUGUUGUUCCUAAUGAUAAAGAUGAAUUGAUCCCACAAAGAAUUAUCACAGGUUAUAGAAUGGUAAUUGAUUUCCGCAAACUAAAUAAAGCUACUAAAAAGGAUCAUUACCCUUUACCUUUUAUUGAUCAAAUGCUAGAAAGAUUAUCCAAACAUACACAUUUUUGCUUUCUAGAUGCUUAUUCUGGUUUUUCUGAAAUACCUGUGUCAAAGGAGGAUCAAGAAAAGACCACUUUUACUUCCCCUUUCGGUACCUUUGCUUAUAGACGUAUGCCUUUUGGUUUAUGUAAUGCACCUGCUAACUUUCAAAGAUGUAUGAUGGCUAUAUUUUCUGACUUCUGUGAAAAGAUUGUUGAGGUUUUCAUGGAUGAUUUCUCCGUGUAUGGAAGUUCUUUUGAUGAUUGCUUAAGCAACCUUGAGCGAGUUUUGCAGAGAUGUGAAGAAACUAAUAUUGUUUUGAAUUGGGAGAAGUGCCACUUUAUGGUUAAUGAAGGUAUUGUCUUGGGGCAUAAAAUUUCUGAAAGAGGUAUUGAAGUUGAUAAAGCUAAAGUUGAUGCUAUUGAAAAGAUGUCGUGUCCUAAGGACAUUAAAGGUAUAAGAAGUUUUCUUGGUCAUGCCGGUUUUUAUAGGAGGUUCAUUAAGGACUUCUCUAAAAUUUCUAGGCCUCUGACUAAUCUCUUACAAAAAUAUAUUCCUUUUGUCUUUGAUGAUGAUUGUGUAGAAGCAUUUGAAAUACUUAAGAAAGCCUUGAUUUCUGCACCUAUUGUUCAGCCACCUAAUUGGAAUUUACCCUUUGAAAUUAUGUGUGAUGCUAGUGACUAUGUUGUAGGUGCUGUUCUAGGACAAAGAGUUGAUAAGAAAUUAAAUGUUAUCCAAUAUGCUAGUAAAACUCAUAGUGCCCAGAGAAAUUAUGCUACUACUGAAAAAGAAUUUUUAGCAGUUGUAUUUGCUUGUGAUAAGUUCAGACAUUAUAUUGUUGAUUCUAAAGUAACUGUUCACACUGAUCAUGCUGCUAUUAAAUAUCUUAUGGAAAAGAAAGAUGCUCAACCUAGACUUAUUAGAUGGGUUCUCUUACUACAAGAAUUUGAUUUGCAUAUUAUUGAUAGAAAGGGAGCUGAGAACCCCAUUGCAGACAAUUUGUCAAGGUUAGAGAAUGUUCUUGAUGACCCACUACCUAUUGAUGAUAGCUUUCCUGAUGAACAAUUAGCUGUCAUAAAUGCUUCUCGUACUGCUCCAUGGCAUGCUGAUUAUGCUAAUUACAGUGUUGCUAAAUUUAUACCACCUAGUUUCACAUACCAGCAAAAGAAAAAGUUUUUCUAUGAUUUAAGACAUUACUUCUGGGAUGACCCACACCUUUAUAAGGAAGGAGUAGAUGGUGUUAUUAGACGUUGUGUACCUGAGCAUGAAAAGGAAUAGAUCCUACGCAAGUGUCACUCCAAGGCUUAUGGAGGACACCACGUUGGAGAUAGAACUGCGUAUAAGGUAUUGCAAUCUGGUUUUUAUUGGCCUACUCUCUUCAAGGAUGCCCGUAAGUUUGUCUUGUCUUGCGAUGAAUGUCAAAGAAUUGGUAAUAUUAGUAGACGUCAAGAAAUGCCUAUGAAUUAUUCACUUGUUAUUGAACCAUUUGAUGUUUGGGGCUUUGACUAUAUGGGACCGUUUCCUUCCUCUAAUGGGUAUACACAUAUUUUAGUUGUUGUUGAUUACGUUACUAAGUGGGUAGAAGCUAUUCCAACUAGUAGUGCUGAUCAUAACACCUCUAUUAAGAUGCUUAAAGAAGUUAUUUUUCCGAGGUUUGGAGUCCCUAGAUAUUUAAUGACUGAUGGUGGUUCACAUUUUAUUCAUGGUGCUUUUCGUAAAAUUCUUGCUAAGUAUGACGUUAAUCAUAGAAUUGCAUCUCCAUACCACCCACAGUCUAGUGGUCAAGUAGAACUGAGUAAUAGAGAGCUUAAAUUAAUUUUGCAAAAGACUGUUAAUAGAUCUAGAAAGAAUUGGUCCAAGAAACUUGAUGAUGCUUUAUGGGCCUAUAGAACUGCAUACAAAAAUCCUAUGGGUAUGUCUCCUUAUAAAAUGGUUUAUGGAAAAGCUUGUCACUCACCUCUCGAACUAGAACAUAAAGCAUAUUGGGCCAUUAAAGAGCUCAAUUAUGAUUUCAAACUUGUUGGUGAGAAAAGGCUAUUUGACAUUAGCUCACUUGAUGAAUGGAGAACUCAAGCCUAUGAGAAUGCCAAACUGUUUAAAGAAAAAGUUAAAAGAUGGCAUGACAAAAGGAUACAAAAGCGUGAGUUUAACGUAGGUGAUUAUGUGCUGCUAUUCAACUCUCGUUUAAGAUUUUUUGCAGGAAAACUUCUCUCUAAAUGGGAAGGGCCUUACGUUAUUGAGGAGGUCUAUCGUUCCGGUGCCAUAAAAAUCAACAACUUCGAAGGCACAAAUCCGAAGGUGGUGAACGGUCAAAGAAUCAAACAUUAUAUCUCAGGUAACCCAAUAAUGUUGAAACUAAUGUUAUUGAAACUUUAACCCCGGAGGAAUAUAUAAGGGACACUUUCCAGAAUGGUUCAGACUCCGAAAAGGAAUAGGUAUGUGGUACGGUAAGUAAACCGACUCCAAAACAGUUCUAAUAGAAAUUUUUCUCCGUUUUGGAAUAUUUAAGAAAAUCGGAAAAUAAGAAGUUGUCCGGGAAGGACACGAGGCGUCCAUGAGGGUGGAGGGCGCGCCCUACCCCCCUGGGCACACCCCCUGCCUUGUGGGCACCUCGUGUGCUCUCCGGACUCCGUUUUCUUGCACGAUACUUCUUUUGGUCGGUAAAAAUUCAUUAUAUAAUCUCCCGAAGGUUUUGACCACCGUAUCACGCAAAUAUCCUCUGUUUUUUUUUUGAGUUGUUUUCUGCCGGAGUUGUCAAGGCCAGGUAUCAUGUCGUCCCCCUUCUCCAACAAUGAGGGCAACGAUGCUUGGCCAAUGAAGAUAGAGCUAAAGAGAGAAGAACCCGGGGAGAUCAAGAAGGAUGAUGGGAUCAAGAAGGCCAUGGAGGAUCGAGUUCCGGCAGCAGAAGACGAAGACAUCCUUCAACCUCAUCACAAUCUUCUUACCCCAACGGAGAUUGAAGCUUUCAAGAUGAUUGAAUUAGCUCACAUACAAAACAAGUAUCUCACACGUGAAAAUGUCUUGUUGAAGGAGCAUAUCACCGCACUCAAGGGCAUUAUCCGCAAAUUGGAGGAUCUCCUACGCUCGAUGUGUGACUAUCCAUCAUCACCACCAUCUUCUUCACCGGCAAAAGAGAACUGAGUAUCUGGUAUGGGCACUCCCCUUGGCAACUGCCAAGCUUGGGGGAGGUGCCCCGGUAUCGUAUCACCAUCACACUCCUAUCUUUACCGUUUUUCUUAGUUCGAUCCUUUUAGUAAUAUCUUGAUCUAGUAGAAUAAAGUUUUAGUAUGAUCUAGUUUUGAUUUUUGCUUUAUGAUCCUACUAUGUAAUCGAGUCCGUGAGCUAUAUAAUAAAGAUUAGUUUUGGCUCAAGGGCUUGAAUAUCUUACUAUGAUCUUCAGGAGAUAAAGGAAAGAAUAAAAUGAAUAAAGAGAUCAUAUUGAUCUUAUGGAGAGUAACGACUUCACAUAUAAAAGAGUAUGAUGAAUAAAAGUUGUUGAGGGUUGAAAAACAUAGUUUUGGUCAUCGUUGCAAUUAAUAGGAAGUAAUAAAGAAAGAGAGGUUUUCCCAUAUAAAUACACUAUCUUGGACAUCUUUUAUGAUUGUGAGCACUCAUUAAAAUAUGACAUGCUAAAGAGUUGAUGUUGGACAAGGAAGACAACGUAAUGGGUUAUGUUUUCUUAUAUCCGAAAUAAAGUAUAUUGUCAUGGAUCAUCCAACAUGUUGAGCUUGCCUUUCCCCCUUAUGCUAUCCAAAGUCUUUGCACCAAGUAGAUAUACUACUUGUUCUUCCAAAUACCCUUAAACCCAGUUUUGCCAUGAGUGUCCACCAUACCUACCUAUGGAUUGAGUAAGAUCCUUCAAGUAAGUUGUCAUUGUUGCAUGCAAUAAAAAUUGCUCUCUAAAUAUGCAUGAUUUAUUAGUGUGGAGAAAAUAAGCUUUAUAUGAUAUUGUGAUGUGGAAGCAAUAAAAGCGAUGGACUGCAUAAUAAAGGUCCAUAUCACAAGUGGCAAUAUAAGGUGGCGUUCUUUUGCAUUAAGAUUUUGUGCAUCCAACCUUAAAAGCACAUGACAACCUCUGCCUCCCUCUGCGAAGGGCCUAUCUUUUAUUCUUGCCUUAUACAUUAUACAAGAGUCAAGGUGAUCUUCACCUUUCCUUUUUUAUAUUUUAUCCUUUGGCAAGCACAUCGUGUUGGAAAGAUCCUGAUAUAUAUAUCCAAUUGGAUGUAAGUUAGCAUGAACUAUUAUUGUUGACAUUACCCUUGAGGUAAAAGGUUGGGAGGCAAUGCUAUAAGCCCCUAUCUUUCUCUGUGUCCGAUUAAAACUCCAUAACCAUAAGUAUUGCGUGAGUGUUAGAAAUUGUGAAAGACUAAAUGAUAGUUGAGUAUGUGGACUUGCUGAAAAGCUCUGAUAUUGGCUCUUUCCGAUGUUAUGAUAAAUUGCAAUUGCUUCAAUGACUGAGAUUAUAGUUUUUGGUUCUCAACGAAGUUUCUGAUUCAUACUUGACAUUGUGAAUAGCUUAUUACUUGAGCAUAAGAAAUCAUAUGACAAUACUUGUAUAUGUUGCUGUUAUAAGAAUGAUCAUGAUGCCCUCAUGUCCGUAUUUUAUUUUAUAGACACCUCUAUCUCUAAACAUGUGGACAUAUUUUUCGUUAUCGGCUUCCGCUUGAGGACAAGCAAGGUCUAAGCUUGGGGGAGUUGAUACGUCCAUUUUGCAUCAUGCUUUUAUAUCAAUAUUUAUUGCAUUAGGGGUUGUUAUUACACAUUAUGUCGCAAUACUUAUGCCUAUUCUCUCUUAUUUUACAAGGUUUACAUGAAGAGGGAGAAUGUUGGCAGCUGGAAUUCUGGGCUGGAAAAGGAGCAAAUAUUAGAGACCUAUUCUGCACAACUCCAAAAGUCCUGAAACUUCACGGAGGCACGUUUUGGAAUUAAUAAAAAAUACUGGCGAAAGAAUCAACCAGAGGGGGCCCACACCCUGGCCACGAGGGUGGGAGCGCGUCCUACCCCCUGGGCGCGCCCCCUGCCUCGUGGGCCCCCUGGCAGGCCUCCGGUGCCCAUCUUCUGCUAUAUGAAGUCUUCCAUCCUGGAAAAAAUCAUAAGCAAGCUUUUGGGAAGAAACACCGCCGCCACAAGGCGGAACCAAUCUAGGGCUCCGGCGGAGAUGUUCUGCCGGGGAAACUUCCCUCUGGGAGGGGGAAAUCAUCACCAAUGAUCCUCUCAUUGGGAGGGGGUCAAUCUCCAUCAACAUCUUCACCAGCACCAUCUCCUCUCAAACCCUAGUUCAUCUCUUGUAUCCGAUCUUUGUCUCAAAGCCUCAGAUUGGUACCUGUAGAUUGCUAAUAGUGUUGAUUACUCCUUGUAGUUGAUGCUAGUUGGUUUAUUUGGUGGAAGAUCAUAUGUUUAGAUCCUUUAUGCAUAUUAAUACCCCUAUGAUUAUGAACAUGAAUAUGAUUUUUGAGUAGUUACGUUUGUUCCUGAGGACAUGGGAGAAGUCUUGCUAUAAGUAGUCAUGUGAAUUUGGUAUUCGUUCGAUAUUUUGAUGAGAUGUAUGUUGUCUUUCCUCUAGUGGUGUUAUGUGAACAUCGAGUACAUGACACUUCACCAUUAUUUGGGCCUAGAGGAAGGCAUUGGGAAGUAAUAAGUAGAUGAUGGGUUGCUAGAGUGACAGAAGCUUAAACCCUAGUUUAUGCGUUGCUUCGUAAGGGCCUGAUUUGGAUCCAUAUGUUUCAUGCUAUGGUUAGGUUUGCCUUAAUACUUCUUUUGUAGUUGCGGAUGCUUGAAAUAGGGGUUAAUCAUAAGUGGGAUGCUUGUCCAAGGAAGGGCAGUACCCAAGCACCGGUCCACCCACAUAUCAAAUUAUCAAAGUAACGAACACGAAUCAUAUGAGCGUGAUGAAAGCUAGCUUGACGAUAAUUCCCAUGUGUCCUCUGGAGCGUUUUCCUUCAUAUAAGAGUUUUUCCAGGCUUGUCCUUUGCUACAAAACGGAUUGGGCCAUCUUGCUGCACAUUAUUUACUUUUGUUACUUGUUACCCGUUACAAAUUACCUUAUCACAAAACUAUCUGUUACCAAUAAUUUCAGUGCUUGUAGAAAAUACCUUACUGAAAACCGCUUGUCAUUUCCUUCUGCUCCUCGUUGGGUUCGACACUCUUACUUAUCGAAAGGACUAUGAUAAAUCCCCUACACUUGUGGGUCAUCACUCCUCAAACAAGAUAAUAGAUCCUUAAACUAACUUUACUUCUCCAUUUCCAAAGCAAGCUUCGCUCCCUUUCUGAUCAAUUCGUUUAUGCAGCUCGCCCGUGCCCUCUUUCUUCGGUGUGGACCCGAUUGGAUGUAUGGUGUGUUGAUGCCAAUCACUGGAAGUAGGAUAUGACACAACGCUCCUCUAUACUUCCUUAAAAACCUCAUAGUAGAUUGUAAGAUUUGAGGUGUAUAACUCAUCGACAAUAGGGUGGCUGAAUGGCGGGGCUAGAGCCAAAUGCCAACGUUUGUGCUUGUUGAUAUUACAAGAGGAGAAAGGUCGAGAAAUAAAUGUGCUAAUGCCAUAAAUGCUAAGAUUUCGAAUAAGUGGUCUUUGAACCUUGCUGCAAUCCAUAGAUGCACUAGUAGUCAAACCUUUCUCAAGCAGAUGGAUGGGUGCAUGGAAAGUUAAUUUAACUUACGUGGACAUGGCAGAGUUAUGGGGGAGUAUACCAAUAGUUUUAUAUAAAGGAUCAGUGAUGGAUUCAUAAUAGUGGACAUUAAUGGAUACACCACACUGGCCAUUAACUGCUAAUCCGGACCAUAUAACAGUUACAAAAUAUUGAUAGCUGAAUAACUUUCCUUUCAAAAGGGUAAAUCACAACAUGAAUCUUGAGUUAGUGAGAAGCCUUGGCCAAAAACAGAAAGACUUGUAGAUCAUAUCGAUCCAAUAUAUCAUAAGUACCUUAUUAUUAUGGACAAUGAUGUCUUUCCAUUAACAUGAACUUCUCAAAUCAAAUGAUACAAUUGAACAAGCAACACAAUAAUGGAGAUUGAAGCAAACAUAGAUCAAAAAGUUAUACAUUAUUAUUUCCUCCAUCACUUAAGCAAGAUGAAUUGUGCUAGACCAUGUCAUUCAUCUUCUUGUUGAUGACAUCUUGAAUGAUAGGACCGAGGGCCUCCAUACUUAUUGGUUUGGGCACAAAUAAAUCAGCACCAGCACUCAUGAACGCCUCCAUGGCAUGAUUAUCGGCAGAAACCCCAACAAUCUUCACAUCAGUUUCCCCCAUAGCACGGAUCUUCACAAUUGCUUGUCGAGCAAUAUAAAAAUUAUAUUGUCUUUUUUGUAAAUAAAUGGAUUAUAUUUAUAUAAAUACAUGCCAAAUACUUGACGAUAUAGAAUUAAUUACCUCUGGACCAGUCAUGACGGGCAUAUCCUUAUCGAACAAAACAAUGUCAAACUUUUUCCCCUCAAGGAACAAAUCAACAGCUUCCUUCCCAUUCAUGGCUAGAGUAACCUCACAGUGAAGUCUGAGCAGAAACGUUGAGAGGACCAACCUACAAACUUCAAUGUCCUCUACAAGUAGUGCCUUGAUAGAGGUGAAUCCUUUGGCCUUGAGCUCCAUGAUCACCUAAACAAAUUGCAAACACAUGAAUAUAUUUUAUUCUUGAUCCACGCAUGCCGAAUUAGUACUUCAAGCAUAUUGUUUUUCUUGAAAAUAAUCAACUAACAAAAUCUUAAUAUAUUACUAAACUCAUAGUUUAACUAAUCGAGGACAUCGCAUAACACAAUGAAACAAAAUUGUGUAUUUCAAAUGAAAACAAUGAUAGAGAACGAUCGAUUGUGCUAUGCAUGUAAAGUUUCCCAUCAUCAUUCCUUUUUAUACGAUAUGUAGGACUGAAAGAAUCAAUCCACCUAGAUAACAUCAACGUGGAAAAUAAACAAUGAACAUGCCAACAAUUAUACAUAAAUGCAUAUAGAUGGGUGGUAACAACAACAACGAAGAUAUUGAUUAACAGAUCAAACUAAAAUGCAUACUUCCACCCUAUACUGGUAUAGAUCCACCUCUAACAUUCUCCGGUAUGAAAAGCAUGGACACUAAAAGCUCCAAAAGCCUGAUGAUAAGACAAGGCAGGAAAACAAAUAAUGGAACAUGUACCUGAAGGUUAGAGCCAGAUGGUACUGGAGGAGAUUGGGGAUCUUCCUGCUCUUCCCACUAGAUAGUCUGGUGGUUCGGUGCUGGUAUGCCUGGUAUGAUGAGGUAUUUAUAGCUGGGAAAAGGUAAGUGUGGACAAUGGACAACCUAUCUCCACCGCCUUCACACACGCAAAAAAUCUGCGCCGAUCUUCGCCCAAGUAUAAAGGGGAAAUCAAUAUUAGUCGCGAAUAUUUGGUUAUUAGUGAGUCAUAUCCCCACAUAAUAUUCUCGACUGAUGUUUAUAUGCAAGUUAAUGCUUCAUAUUAGGUCACGUAUUAAACUAUAUCUCCUCUAGUUAUUAGAAGUUGUAUGAGUUAUAGUUCCAAAUUUUGAAUGUUGGCCAAUAUACCACUACUAGGAAAUACCUUACAGGUACUCCCUCCGUUCCUAAAUAUAAGUCUUUGGAGAGAUUUCACUAUGGGCCACAUACGAAGCAAAACGAGUGAAUGUACACUCUAAAAUGCAUCUAUAUACAUCCGUAUGUGGUCUAUAGUGAAAUCUCUACAAAGACUUAUAUUUAGGAACGGAGGGAGUAGAUAAUUAGCAGUAGAGCUGGGUAAGUGACCCGCGCUAUUGUUAAGUAGUAGUAGCGCGGGUCAAAACACCACGCUACAGGUCUAGUAGUAGAGCGGGUGUAUACACCCAACGCUGCUGCUAAGUGGGCCCCAUAGAACCCCCGGGUCGAGCCAUAGUGGCAGCGCUGGGUAUAAGACCCGCGCUACAACUAACAUGGUAGCUAUAGCGCAGGGCUUAUACCAAGCGCUGCCACUACUAGUACACAGGGCUAGCUGGUGGGCCCCAUUUAGCAGCAGGGCUGGUGCAUGAUAGAGCUCUACACGUAAUGGGCAUAGCAAUACCGCGGGUCUUCUUCCCCAAGCUACUGUUGUGGCAACCUUAUCCCUCCUCCAACGACGACCCUCUCACUCACUCAUGCUUCAUUCUCCUCCCGUUGUCGUCGCCGCCCUUCUCCUUCCUCCGUAAGCAGCCUCCCUCCUCCACCUGUCGCCCUCGUCCCUCCUCCUUAAAGUUGUUCUCCUCCCUCCUCCUCCUCUCUCCUCCCUCCUCCGGCCGCCAUCCUCCCUCCUCNNNNNNNNNNNNNNNNNNNNNNNNNNNNNNNNNNNNNNNNNNNNNNNNNNNNNNNNNNNNNNNNNNNNNNNNNNNNNNNNNNNNNNNNNNNNNNNNNNNNNNNNNNNNNNNNNNNNNNNNNNNNNNNNNNNNNNNNNNNNNNNNNNNNNNNNNCCCUCCAUCCUCCUCCUUCAUACCACCUCCCUCCUCCAUCCUCCCCCCUCCUUCGGCUGCCAUCCUCCUCCUCUCUCCUCCCUCCUCCCUCCUCCUCUCUCCUCUAUGUUUUAUGUAAAAAUAUAGUAAAAUAUAGAAAUUUUAGUAAUAUAAUAGAAAAUUUUAGGUAUCAAAUAGGUUUUUUGAAUAUAGAAAUGUUUUAGGUAAAGAAACAGUAAAAUAUAAAAAAUAGUAAUGGAAUACAAUAUAAAGACUAGUAAUAUAAUAGAAAAUUUUCAGUAAAAAAUUAGUAAUAGAAUAGAAAAUUUAAGGUAUCGAAUAGGGUUUUUUAAUGUAGAAAUUUUUUAGGUGUCGAAUAAAAUAUAAAAAUAUAAAAAUGUUGUUGAAAAUUAUAUUGUGAAUUAUUUUUAUGUUAUUAUCACUUUUGAAUCAAAGAAUCUUAUAUGAGAUAUGAUGAUGUAAAUUUUCACUCGGUGGAAUACGCAGGCUUUCUUGUGUCGCGUCCCCCUCUCCCGUUCGCUCCCGCCCCGUCCACCAUGAGCACCUCCUCUCCUCUCUGUUCAGUUUUAGGUUUAGUUCUUUUUUAAUAUAUAUAUAUAUAUAUGUGUGUGUGUGUGUAAAUGGAUGUAUGUUCUUUAGAUGGAUGGAUGCAUUUUGUAGGGAACAAAUCCGAGUGCCUAUGUUUUACCGGAAUGUUGAUUCAUUUCCAUUCCUGCAAAUUUUAGGCACUCGAUAUGUCCUGUUCUUAGCAAAGGUAAUGCAAAAUUUUCCUUGAAUUUCAGAAUGACUUGUGCUAGAAAGUAGGACAUAUUGAGUGCUCAUUAUUUGCCAGAACAGGAAUUAAAUGACAUUUAUGCAAAACCCCAAAAUGUCGAUACUCCCAUCCAUUCUUGGUGGGCUGCUACCUGUGAUCCAGCCCCUCCUCAGCUUCACGAGGGCAUAUCAUCACUCAUUAUCCUAUUUGCUUGGUGGCUCUGGAAACAUCAGAAUGGUUGCAUCUUUGAUGGUGAUCGGCCCUCUAUCUCCCUUGUCUCCAAGACCAUCCAAGAUGAGGCGUGGCUUUGGUCCAGGGCUGGCACCGCAGGGCUAGCGAAUAUCAACCCUGAGACUUAGUCUUGUUUUGGGGGCUGAACAACCCCCUCUAUGUAUGUUCCUCUGCUCGCUUCCAGGCCUUUUGUGUACAUGGGAUAGUAGGCGGUCAUAACGUAUUGUUGUCACUCUUCUUCUAUCAAUGGAAAGAUAUGCAAUAUUUGUGUAUUCGCAAAGAAAAAGAGAUAACAUGCACCAUUGAUGCGGGUCACUUAAAAGGGAGAUCAUAGUAGAGGGUAGAGAUGGUAGCAGCUUGGAGAACAUAGGCCUACCCUAGCGUGCACUUGCAGCCACGUGAAAUAAACAGAACCACGGAGGGCAGUAGGGCGCGAAUGAUAAGCCUAGCAUAAACACAAUAAGCUAUCAAUACUAUUAGAGGUUAACACAUGCUUCGCAACACCGUUCUUCACCUGUGGGAUUAACUCUUCUUUAUCUAGUAGAUUAUUUUGGAUGGUUGUUUUGUUUUGAUUUUAUCUGUGUUGUGCUAGAUUCUAAUUAUGUUAUAACGGUGUUUUUUGUGCAUAUAGCGUGCUAGGUUGUGGUUGGAGAUAAUAUUUGUUCUAAUAGAUGAGUGGAGUGUUCAAUGCAUGUUGUGGUGUCUUUACACGUUUCGGCCUCGGUGUCAGUUGGUGGUGGUUGUGUGAGCCCCUUCGGAGCUCCUAUUCUUUUUUCUGCAUGAAAACUUUCAGUCUAUUUAUCUUCAAUCAUGGUAGUACAACAAACACCAGAAAUAAUAAAAAGUUAUAUCCAGAUCCUUAGACCACCUAGCGACGAUUACAAGCACUGAAGCGAGCCGAAGGUGCGCCACCUUCAUCACCGCUCCCUUGCCAGAGCUAGGCAAAAAAAUUUGUAGUACACAGUAGGGGAGUCAUCGUACUAAGGCCCCAUGAGACCAGCGCACUAGAACAACAACUGCCACCGAUGAAAAGAUGCGUAGAUCGUAAGAAUCUAACCUGAAGACACACGAACGAAGAUCGGAUCCGAUUAGAUCCAUCAAAGACAACCACCGACCGAAUUCUGCAAGACCAGCUAGAGACACGCCUCCACACCCCCUCCAAUGAUGCUAGACACACCACCAGAACGGGGUCUAGGCGGGGAGAAUCCUAUUCCAUCUUCAGGGAGCCGCCUCUGUCUCGUCUUUCUCAGCAGGACACAAACACUAACCAAACCAAUAGAAACAUCUAAAAAGGAAUCCCUACCGCCGGCAAGGCCCAGGAUCCACCGCGUCUCCAUGGCCCUAGGGCCACCAGAGACGAGGCAGACUAGUGGCGGCGCUUGCGGGACACAGAGGAACCCUAGCGUUUUUGGAGGAGGCGGCGGUAGCUAUGUGUGCAUUGGGAGCUCCUAUCACACGUUCAAACUGUGGAAUUGCUGCUAUACCGCUCACAUAGGCCGUUCGCUGAAGCUCUGGCUCGAUCAACUUGGCUCCCUUUUCCACUUGCUUAUUUAGUUUUUUUCGCUCGCUCCGGUGCUAGCUUAGAAAUUACCAGCUAAUAUAUUUUUAUUUGAAAACAACCAAUAAAUCAAAUAUGCUCAUGGAUUAAAAGAUGGAUCUUAAAAAUUGUUUUGAAUUAAAAACAAUGGAUGUUUUUAAAAAAUCUUAGUGCCUUAAAAUUAUGUCCAUGGAUUUCAAAAAAUAUUUGUGAAAAUUUAAAGGAGGUUCCUAAACUGAAAAUUUUUCACCAACUUUAAUUUUAUUAUGAACUUUUGGAAUACUCCUACAUAUGCUCCUCGGGGCGGCGCCCUAGGCGUCCUUGGUGAAGGUUUGGUUUGAUUUUAGGUAACAAUUUUGGGCUUCAGCAUGCAUGUCCAUUUUCUGGGAUAGUUUUUACUGUCAUUGAAAAUCAUGGAUGGGUUAGUGAAUGGAGUAUAAAUAGAAAGAAAAAAUUGUGUCUGCGAGAUUUGAACUGACUACCUCGCUCUUAUGUAGGAGUUAGACUAAGAUGGCUUCAAAUCGAAAAGUGUUUAACAAGAAAAUUGUUCUUCUCAUAGAAAUGAACAACUUUCCUUUUGGAUUUUUUCAAUCCCAUGUCAUGCGGACGCCAGCCGCUUACAUCCCUAGUCGGACAGUACUCCACAUAUAUAAAUUGCAGAAUGACAGUUCAAAGCAAAAAGAACACAAUGCCAUUUCAAUGAUUAUAUCACAAAUGACAAAAACAUUACAAGGUUCAGUUUCCAGUAUUACAAGGCUAAAGUUCAAACUGAUAUUGCAAAUGAAAUCCAGCUUCUGCAGAACCUUUGUCAUACAGCUAUAGACACCCGUGCUGAUUAGCUGAACAUGAACAUAUAGAAGGUUCAAAUUGAUAUUACAAAUAGUUUCUCCAUUCCAAUAUUUCUGCAGGGGGAUCAGCCACUAACAAGACAUGUAUGGGCAUGACUGACUAAAGGAAACAGGAAAUUUGCCGUCAGUCACUGACGGCAAAUAACAGCUGACAGAAAAAUAGAGGAAAACUUGAUGACAAAGAAACACUAUGGGCAAACAGGUACAAAGGCUGACAGCAACGGGACACUGACGGCAAAGGCAUGUCCUUUGUCCUCAUCUUCGGGCGCACUAAUGGCAAAGAGUGUAACUAGAUGGAAGUGCAACGACGUGGCAUUUUGCCGUCAACCGCAACACUCACCGGCAUAUAAGAAGGGCAUAACAUGUGGAAAUCAUUGUACUAAAUUAGAAGAGCAUACCAUGCGCGUACUUGAUCACCACGUAAAACCCUGUUUUCUCGGCGGGUGCCUCGGCCUUGGCACCUCGCAGCACCUGCAUGUGGUCUGGCCAAAAUGGUAGGGACGAUUUUCCAAUCCAUGCUACCAGUCCAAGUUGUAAUUCAUGCACAAAUUACUACACAUAUCUUAUAUGCUUGUCAAAUUUCAAGAUGACCAAUACAUAAUCAAGUUGUCAUACAGCCCUUGUGUAUGCACUGAAAUACAAUAUUGCAAUCCCCAUCACAACUAUUCGGGGAUGAAUGGGAAGCAUAAACAAGGAACAAAAUUUUGCAUAAGUACUGUCUGUGAAUAAUCGGAACUCUUCAUCCAGUGACCCACUACUUGAUGGUAAAUCUGUAAUCCAUAUUUACCGAUUUAUGCACGUACUUCCGCUGGUUAUCAUGUCUAUACAAGCUUUGUGUUCUCCUUUGUAAUAUCUGAUUAUGCUAUAUAUGCACAGGAAAAGCAAGGAUUACUAUUCUUUGUACAUAUGUAGUGUAUUUUUCUUUCCCGUAGUAAUAGUUCAAGUAGAGGCCAGAUGCAAUGACAUAGAUGGUCGAAGGCUAUUUGAGGCAGCCCCAAGCCCCAUCUCGCUCUUGGAGCUCCUCCCUUGUUCAAGAAGGAGCUCCUCAACAAGAUAAUAGAUCCUUAAACUAAAUUUAGUUCUCCAUUUCCGAAGCAAGCUUCGCUCCCAUUCUGAUCAAUUCGUUUAUGCAGCUCGCCCGUGCCCUCUUUCUUCUGCGUGGACCCGAUUGGAUGUAUGGUGUGUCGGUGCCAAUCACUGGAAGUAGGAUACAACGCUCCUCUAUACUUCCUUAAAAAACCUCAUAGUAGAUUGUAAGAUUUGAGGUGUAUAACUCAUCGAUACCAGGGAGGCUGAAUGAAGGGGCUAGAGCCAAAUGCCAACGUUUGUGCUUGUUGAUGUUACAAGAGGAGAAAGGUCGGGAAAUAAAUGUGCUAAUGCCAUAAAUGCUAAGAUUUCGAAUAAGGGGUCUUCGAACCUUGCUGCAAUCCAUAGCUGCACUAGUAGUGAAACCUUUCUCAAGCAGAUGGAUGGGUGCAUGGAAAGUUAAUUUAACUUACAUGGACAUGGCAGAGUUAUGGGGGUGUAUACCAAUAGUUUUAUAUAAAGGAUCAGUGAUGGAUUAAUAAUAGUGGACAUUAAUUGGAUACACCACACUGACCAUUAACUAGUAAUCCAGACCAUAUAACAGUUACAAAAUAUUGAUAGCCGAUAAUUUUCCUCUCAAAAGGGUACACGACUCACAACAUGAAUCUUGAGUUAGUGAGAAGCCUUGGCCAAAAACAGAAAGACUUGUAGAUAAUAUUGAUCCAAUAUAUCAUAAGUACCUUAUUAUUAGGGACAAUGAUGUCUUUCCAUUAACAUGAACUUCUCAAAUCAAAUGAUACAAUUGAACAAGCAACACAAUAAUGUAGAUUGAAGCAAACAUAGAUCAAAAAGUUAUACAUUAUUAUUUCCUCCAUCACUUAAGCAAGAUGAAUUUUGCUAGACCAUGUCAUUCGUCUUCUUGUUGAUGACAUCCUGAAUGAUAGGACCGAGGGCCUCCAU
rnacentral:lncRNA from 1 species